UGAUUGCACCUGGCCAAACUACCAAUGCUCUCAUCUCCACCGACCAGAGCUCCGGCAAGUACAUGGUCGCUGCCUCCCCUUUUAUGGACUCCCCAAUCGCCGUCGACAACAUGACCGCGACCGCCACCUUACACUACUCUGGCACACUCGCUGCGACCUCCACGACCCUCACGAAGACUCCCCCACAAAAUGCCACCGCGGUGGCCAACAAUUUCAUUAACUCGCUCCGGAGCCUCAACUCGAAGAGGUACCCCGCCAAAGUCCCGCUCACUGUCGAUCACAGCCUCCUUUUCACGGUUGGACUAGGAGUCAACCCUUGCCCUUCGUGCAAAGCUGGCAACGGAAGCAGAGUCGUGGCAAGUAUGAACAACGUGACGUUCGUGAUGCCGUCGACGGCCCUUCUCCAAGCGCAUUUCUUCAACAUAAGCGGCGUCUUCACGAGUGAUUUCCCUGGUAACCCGCGAACCACUUUCAACUACACAGGGUCGCCGCCAUCAAAUUUGCGGACUACGAGCGGGACAAAGGUGUUCCGGUUGCAUUAUAACUCGACGGUCCAGCUCGUGUUGCAAGACACCGGGAUUAUCGCCCCAGAGAACCACCCAAUUCAUCUUCACGGGUUCAAUUUCUUCACCGUCGGGAAGGGAUUAGGAAAUUAUAAUCCAAAAGUGGAUCAGAAGAACUUCAACCUUGUUGAUCCUGUUGAGAGGAACACAAUAGGAGUACCAUCUGGGGGAUGGGUUGCAAUCAGAUUCAGAGCAGACAAUCCCGGUACGAUUCUAGUUUAUUAACUAUUUUCGUUUACCCUACAGUCUAUACUAUAAAUUUAACUGCUCUGCAAGUUUUUCAGGAUUCUGUUGUUUAAACUUUUUGCAGGCGUUUGGUUCAUGCAUUGUCAUCUGGAAAUUCACACAACCUGGGGACUCAAGAUGGCCUUCUUGGUGGACAAUGGGAAAGGCCCGAACGAGUCGCUUCUACCGCCUCCGAGUGAUCUUCCGAAGUGUUGAUCAAUGGGGAAAAUUUUGAUAACCAUGCAUGUGGCAUCUGGAGAUGAAGAGUGAUGAGAAGACAAAAUAUGUAGGUGGUUUUGACCUAGUAAAAUGAAGAUCAGAAUUGUUUCCUGAGCAAAAGUAGGACGAGUAUUUCUCAAGCAUGUUAAUUAAAAAAAAAAUUCCAUGUUUUGAUUGCAAAGUUCGUAUUUCGUAAGAAUUUUUCUUAAUCAGCUAGGUGCUAAAAUUCUUUUUCUGGAAAAGAGAAAAGAUUCUGCUGUUCGCCAAAAUUGCCAAUACUUGACAAGUUGCACACAGAGACUAGACUAUGAUGUUUUGGUUGAUAAUGGGCCUAAUGAUCUAACAAUGACAUAUGAUGGAUAGGUCCAAUAGACAUUAUCAUAUAUAGCUAAGGUCUCCUCUCUUCUCCUAACACACAUUCUAGGCUUUAUCCUUCGGGAGCCGUCUAAGGAGGAGAUAGAAGAGGAAAUAGCUAAUUAAAAGGAAUCAAUCAAAAGCAAAUUCAUAGAUUCCACACACCGGACUAUCCGUGGCUGAGAGCCCUUACACCACAGGCACAAAGAUGCAAUCAUUAGAAAUGUGCUCAGCCACUAAGUUAAUAGCCCAUCAUAUGGGCCUCUCCUCUAGGCCCACCAGAUCAAAAGCGAGAGAAACCACGACUCUCUUUUUCCCUUCUUUGCCCCUAUAUCACCAUGUGAAAGGGGCAUGAAGACAUAAAAAUGGGGAUUUUACCAACUUGCUUUGAGCGAAAAUAAUAAAGUUAUAAGCUCAUCUCACUUCAUCAUCAAUUUAAUAAAAGAGAAGUUGCAUUUAUUAAUUGAACUUGGACGUAGCUCGGCUCUUUUUGGAUGUAAAACGAUAUCAAACCAAGACGUUUGAUGAGAACUAGCUCUCCCUAAAAUGGAGGUGAGCUAGCCAUGCCUUCUAGUAUAGCUACCUUGCUAUGAUUCAUCUAGUCACUAACCCCACCUUUGGCAUCAUCCUCGUGGUUAAGAUAAUGACUUCAGGCAUGAUCAAAUCCCAUAGUUUGAUGGGCUGUGUUAUUUGAAUUUAUCAUGUAGAUGUUUCUUGAAUUGUUGCAGAAGCAAGCGAUCGAAGAAUAAUGUAAAUAAAACAAGAAAAUAAAUAAGACAUUAAAUUUACGUGGUCCCAUCGGAUGACUUACGUCCAUAGAGAAAGCAGCAAUAUAUUCUACUAUAGAUCAAACGAUACAAUAGAGAUUGAAACCAUACUCAAGUCAUUUAAACAUUAUCAUUGUCUUCUAUCCCCAAUUACAUGCAAUAGCCCAAAUAAUGUUUAACCCCACAAUUACUCACGAAAUAAGCUCUCAAUCUAAUAAAGGAAUGAUACACAAAUUUUUACCACAAGAAUUUAAUUGGCUUCAACACUUGAAUUGUUCAUGUGAUUUCACAAAGAAACCCCACUGCCAAGCACCUACAUCUAUGGGAUGUUACUCGCAAAUUGAGCACCCAUGACACUCUCAAAGAGAACAUCACUUUACUUCUUGAGAAAAACAUCCCUUGGCCCAUAUUGUAAGUAUUUAUAAUAGUCAUUAUGAAGUCCUUUGCCGAAUUCCUUGACUUCUGUCUUUUCCUUUUUUCAAUUUUCCUUGAUUGAUAUGCAAGACCUUCGACAUAGACCAUAACGAAGAGGAAAUAUGAUUUCCAUGGCACACCACCACGAACAUCCACAUAUAUUCCAUUUAUCUUGAGUCGGAUUUCGUUCGUGGGGUCAAACUUGAGAUAUUUUAAUAGACUCAACCUUAAUUCAAUGUUUGAGUCAAGUCAUCGCUUCGUUGGAAUUUGGACUUCACUACUACUUUCCUGUAGUCCUUUACAAGCUCAACCAUCACAAACAUUUUCCAAGUCCAAGUAUUGAAUUUCAGCAUAAUUGUAGACCUCAUCUAAACACCAACAACACUGGCACUUUUAACUGCUCCCCAUGACACAACUAGGGGUGAUCGAGUCCAUACCUGGAUCCUAUACCUGAUCCUGUUGUAAUCGGUUCAACUUUUUUUUUUACCCUGUACCCGACCCUAUUUGCACUAGACCCUAUACUCGAACCACCCUGUUUUUCCAGUCUGGUUCUAGGAUCAACCCUGUCACGCCCUAAUCCUCGAGUGCACGCACAUCCCUCUUUAGUUGAUAAAAAUUUUGCGACUUUCCAGGACGAGUCGCCGACCCUUUUUUUUUAUUGCACAUGCGGAAGCGAAUAAUAAAUCCCAUAACAAUAAUCACCUCGGGAUAGAAAAGCAAGACAACAAAUUUUCAAACAAACAUGCUUUUAAAUAUACACCGAGUCAAAUACAAAAGUCUACAGCCACAAGACUUCAAAUGAUUGACUCUAAAAAGGGAAUUAUCCUACGACAUACUAGUUGGACACAUACACCAAUCCUUUGGACUCCACCUCCACAGACUUUGAGGCUUUGGUCCUCCACGACCACCUUUUAAGGACCUGAAAAUGGUUAUACAAUAACCAGUGAGACAAUGUCUCAGCAAGGCCACCCUCUAAACCCCGAUUAAGAGGGUAAUACGCCUAAGACAUCUUAAUCACACAAUCAUACAAUCACAGAGGCUUACCUUGGCCUUAGUUCCUCCCUGCAGGUCAGCACAAUUCAUAUCACAACCAUGUGUAUAUAACAAUUUUACACACUAAUUUGGAAUGUCCAAACCAAUCAUUACUCAUACGAGCAAGAAUCACAAUUAAAUCAUUACUCACACAAGCAAGAACUACUGAUACACAUCAAAUCAAGAAUUAUUGACACACUGAUCCAUUAAUUCAACUUAACAUGCAUUCUAAUUAAUUAACUAUUACUACCCACACGAGCAGUUUUAUCUGACACAUGCCAGGGAAGAAAAUAAUUACCGACACAUGUUGGAAAUGACUAAUAACUACCGACACAUGCCGGGAAUGACUAAUAACUACCGACACAUGUCGGAAACAACUAAUAACUACUAACGUCCACCAACACACGCUGGGGACGGUUUCUCUUAACUAUUAACAUCCACCAACACACGUUGGGGAUGGAUUCUCUUAACUAUUACACGAUCAUCAAGCAUAAUCUCUAGGAAUAUCACAAACCAACCAUAUAUCAUCAAAUGUGCCAUUUCCAAUAAUCAAAACCUCAAGAAUCAUCACAAAAUCAUGACUGGCUCUAACCAGCAGAAUAGACCCACUCACACGUCUCCAAGUUUAAAUCUAGAAACCUAAUUGAACGAGUUCAGAAAAUUCUCAAAUUUAAAUAUGUUGUAAAAGACACAUAAAAAAACAUUUUCCAUGAAGACACCUUAACCCAGAUCCUUCUACAUUCGGCCCAGUAAAUCGCUCAAUCCAGUACAAAACUAUGUCCGUUUUUCAGAAAGUCUGCUUUCUGAAAUCAGUUUGAUUUGAGAUAUAAACCAUGUCCAUUUAAUCUGAAAUUUGAUAUGUUAAACUAAAGGAUGUGACAAACAACUUUUGUGAAGAAACCAUUUUGAAUUUCGAACCCUAAGAGUUGAUAAGAACCCUUAGAAUCCUAAAAGGUCACCGGUCCCAAUAAAAUUGAGGCUCUAUUUGAAAAUGACGAAGCUAAUAUCUCAUUCUUUUAGAUCCCUAAAAAUCUUGAGAAAAAUAUAUGUUGUAGCUAAGGAUAUCUAAAACAUUCUCAAGAAGAAAUAAACCUCAAAAUCGUAACUCAUUUCGAUUUACAUAAAUGGCAAAUGGCGAGGGUCCAGAAAUCCAAACUGCAGGAAUUCUACUGGAUUCAACUAAUCCAUCAUCAAUUGUACAAAUCUCACUAAUUAAAUUAACACUAAUUCAUUCUAAGACUAAUCUUACCAUCCUAGCUUAUCACUAAUUCAUACUUAAGCUAAUCUAAACAACCAUUAAGCAUAAUUAACAUCCUAAGUAAGGUUUAGUGAGCAAACUCACUUGUUCAAUGAGCCAGUCUGUUCAAAUCGACGGGAACGCGAUGAGGGAUGAUUGUCUCCAAAGUGAGACUAGGUUUUAGGGCUCGGAACCACCUCAAAAUGGGCCCGAAGCACCGUUGGAAACCCAAUAAUAAACCUUAUGUUUGCUGCUGCAAAAGAGAGGAAACAAGUUUGGUUGAGGCAAACAAGAAUCGAGAUGGGUUGAGGGAGUCUCGAUGGCCAACGGCGAGGACUUACGGUGGUUGGAGGCGGGCUAAACAACUCUAACACAGGCUGUGGGGGCUAUUGGAAUGGAGGAACAGGGCUGGAACGUGCACGGGGUUGGGCGAACUCACAGGGGCAGCAAGUGGUGAGCGAUGGCGUGAACGGCGUGACGGCGAGGGCGGCCACAUGCGAGUAGCUCUAGGUGGCUAUUGCUCCUUCUCUGGCUUGCUAGUGGUCGAAAAUGGCAGGAGAGGGGGAGGAAAGCUGGCUGGUUGGCUUGAGGAACAAGGAGAGGGGGACAAGGGGGCCACAAGUCAUUUUUUUUCCACAAGUUUGUCCCCGUGAACUUGUCCACCAAGCUUGUCUAGCUUGGAAUUUUCCAGCACAAAAAUCCUUCUAAAAGCCUUCUUAGAUGGUCCAUAAGUCAUGGUGGUGGGGGAGUUAUGAAUUUCACAAAUUUUGGCUUCAGUUAGACUUGAUCUCACUCUCAAUCCAAUCCCUUUUGGCCUUAAUAAAUCAAAUCAACCCAACAUUAGUCAUCUUGGCAUUUUUCCUCACCCAUACAUUCCAUUUGCUUCCCAAUUUCUCGACAAAAAACGAUCCUUGUCUUUUUCUGAACAAAAAUGGUCCUAUGUCGACUUUUUCCCAAAAAGUCUUGGGUUGUAGAAAAAUCUUCUGAGAUUGAGUCGAUGUUUCUAGAAUUUAUUAUGACAUGAAAAACCUUCAAUUUUUGAAAUUGGAUUCAAAUUCGCGGUUAAUUUCACUUUGGCGCAUUUUUAGCGUGACCUAGGCUAUUGGGUAGGUUUCAAAACUUUUUAGUGCAAAUGACUCGUGGUCGAUUUUCUUCGAGCCACAAUGAACCCCUUCGACAUAUUUGCGACUCUUGGUUAUCAUGAAAAUCUCGAGAUUUCAAAUAUGGACAUAGGGUACCAAAACGAUAGAAGAAUCAAUCUAGUAUUGAUCGACGGGAAUUUUGUAAUUUAGUGGGAUCACCCACGUUUAACCACAUAUCUCAAUUGAACCGAGAUUUCUAAUCGAUCUUACUAUGCCGAAAUGAUCUCUACAGAUGAGCACGGUCGAGUAGCCGAUUCCUAGUCGAAUCCUCAAGUCUAUUGCAUUAAAAUCUCUUAAUAACUUCCCCAAAUAGUCUAGUUAUCUCACGAGUUGCCAUCUUAGAGAAAAGCACUAUAAGCGUGUCGAUGAAAGGCCAAACUUAUCCAAUUGAAAUCAGAACCUAAAAAAUCAGAAUGUCACAAACCUUGUGUCCGCUAGACCCUGUUUUGCAACUGUUCGACAUCCUAUACGGCUUUGAAUUAUACAUUAGUACACGAGAACAUUUUAGGGGGGACUAAGGUUGACACCAAAUUCUGGAGUGGGUGAGCGAAGAUUCACCAAUUGACAAAGAAUCAAUGGAAACAAUAUGUAUAACAUGCAUUAACAACACAUUUACACAAAAGAACCUAACAAAUUUGAGAUAAAAAAGACCGAAGCUUCUUAACCUCAAUAAAAUUGGUGAACUUGGAAUCUCUGUUGAUCACCAACUGAUAAACCUAGAAAUCCAUCAAGCCACGUGCACAAGAGUAGACAAAGAUUACAGUGAAGCAAAACGCCAAUUCGGCCUUGAGAAAUAGGGAACGAGCAGAAAAUCGAGCGAAAAGGGCUAUCUCGUACUCGAGCUUGUGCUUCUGAGAGUCCUUGAAGGGGACGUAGUACUUGAUGAGACAGGUCUUGCCACAUUGGUUCUGCAAUAGUAUAAAUUGGAUCACAAGAAUUUGGCGACGACGGAUGCCGUCCGUUGAAUGGUGUGAGAAGGAGUCGACGAUGGACGGUGUGACGGUGAGCUGGCGAUGGAUAGUGCAAUGGUGAGUUGGCGAGGGAGGGAAAUGAGCAAGGAAGAGGAAUGAUGUAGGAGGAGUGUCGAGAGGAAAAAGUGCCGUGCAACUGCGAAAAUAAGAAAAGAAAUCAGGGGAAAAAAGAAGGGUUUUGGAACCAAUUCCAAAAUUGGUCCUGUUGGAGAAAUCUUCUUGAAGUGUUUUGAAGUUGACAAAACGUUUCUAUCAGUCUAGUCUGAAGGCUUGCAGACUCUGUUAUUUAAAGUCUGAAGACCUCCGAACAGCCAAACUCAAGACUCAAAGUCUAUCCUCAUUGACAGUCUCUAAUCCGUUGAAGAAAGGUUAUCCAGAACUGGAUGUUUCGUUAAGGAUUUAACCUUAUCAACUGGAGAAGAUCUCGUGGCUGGAAAAGACAUAACGGAGUCCUUUGAUUGAUCGAAGAUUGACUCGAUAAUUGAAGAUCCGGUGAUUGCCUAAAUAAUAUUGGAAGGUUCUACUUAUGGAAACCGAGAUCCUGAUUGUAUGGGCGAACAUGAUUGAUGGGCUAUGAACACGUUCCUUUAAUAGCUUGAACAAUCUUCCUAAUUGAUUCCGUCCAACGGGUAGAUUGGAGGAAUUCCUUUGGUAAGUGCCAACGGGUAUGAUGGCAUAAAUGAGUAUAUAAGGAGGACUGUCUUAGUUGUUCAAGGUGUGUGCGAUAGAAGAAUUCCAAAGUCUGAAGCUCCUUUUUGUUUAGACAAAUCCUUUGAGCGAAUACUUGUAUACAAAAGAGAGUCUAUAUUUGUAAGAAAUCUUGAGAAGGUGUGGUAGAACAUCUACACUGUGGAAUCAAGGCAAAGUUGUGCUGUAACUUCUCUUUUGUUCAUAGUGGAAUCCAGCCAAUAGGCUGUCAGUGAAGAAGAGUGGACGUAGGCUUGAUAUAAGCCGAACCACUAUAAACCACAUGUUCAAUUUUCUCUUCUCUCAGUCUUACUUUGAUUAUCGUUUCCUUCAACUGUCUAGUAUUAUGCAAUUGUUGAAGAAAAAUCUUUUAUAUACCUAUUCACCCCCCUCUAGGUACUCAUACUAGCAAUAUCAAUUGGUAUCAGAGCCUGUGUACUUACUUUAUUUGAAGUGUUUUACUUCGUAGUAAAAGAUCCAUGGCUAGCAUGCUAGCACCAGGGCUGAUGGAAGGGCAAAGCAAUACCAGACCACCCUACUUUGAUGGAAAGGAUUACAACAUCUGGAAGAACAAGAUGAAAGCUUUCCUACGAUCAAAGGAUCCUCUGGAAUGGGACGUUGUAGAAAAAGGAAUUACUCCUACCACUGCAUCAGUCUCUGAAAGAGGAAAAGAAACUGAUGAAACCAGCGAAAUGUCUCAAGAAGAAAUAAUCAAGAGACAAGCACUCGAUGCAAAAGCAAUUUACUCCCUAUAUUGAGCUUUAUCACUAACUGAAUAUAAUAGAAUAUCUUCUUGUGGUACAGCAAAAGAAGUUUGGGACAGAUUGCAUAUCACCUAUGAAGGAACAGAUCGAGUGAAGGAAACAAGAAUCAACAUUCUUCUCGGUCAAUACGAAGCCUUCAGAAUGAAACCAGGAGAAUCUAUAUCUGAUAUGUUUAGUCGUUUUACAGAUAUUGUGAAUGGUCUUGAAAAUCAAGGUCAACCAACUUCUGAUCCCAUGAAGGUAAACAAGCUACUGCGUGGACUCUCCAGGGAUUGGAAUCACAUAAAGACUUCGAUAAGAGAGACGCAAAGAAUUAUGCCACUAUCUGUCGACGAGCUAAUUGGAACUCUUCAGUCUUAUGAAGUGGAACGGAUCAAUGAAGAUGAAGAUCCAAAAGGUAAGAAAUCCAUUGCAUUAAAAUCAAAUGAUGAUUAUGAUGAUACAGAUUCUGAAGAUGAUAUGGACGAUGAGGAGCUUGCUCUCAUGAUAAGAAGAUUCAGAAAACUAAAUAGAAAAGGAAGAAGGUUCAACUCAAAGAAACAAAGCUUUCAAAAAUAGCAGACCAAGUCUGUUGAUGAUGAGGAACCAAACAAAGACAUAGUCUGUUUUGAAUGUAAGAAAAAGGGACACAUCAGACCCAACUAUCCUCUUCUGAAGAAGAAGAGAGGAAAAGCUGAAAAAUUUCGAAAAGCUCUCAAAGCCGAAACCUGGAGUGAUACAGAGUGUGAAGAAAGUGAUAAUGAAUAUGCCAAUCUAUGUCUGAUGGCACAAUCAGACUCAGACUCUAGAUCAGACUCAGAUAGUGAAUUUAAGGCAAGUAAUUUUAAAAUUCCUGUCAAAGUUUCUAAAUACAUUGAUGAACUAUGUUUCAGUCUUAAGACUUCUCUCAAAAGAAUUUCCGAACUGAAAAAGGAAAACUCAGCUCUAAAACAAAAGGAAAAUGUUUUAGUAGAAAGAGUUAAAAGUCUAGACUUGACUGUUUCCAAUCUUAAAGAAAAUGAAGAUAAUCUUUUAAAAGAAAAUGUUUUUUUUAAAAACAGACUUAUCAAAUAUAUCAAAGAAAUUUUCAAUAGGGUCUGAAAAACUUGAGAAAAUUCUUUCAGCUCAAAGACCUUACUUCAAUAAGUCCGGUCUAGGUAUGUCAGAAGAAACAAUUCCCUUGAUUGAUUUUCCUAAAGUAAAAGAAAGAAUUAAGAAAAGACUCUCGAGAGAGGUUUACAAAAAUCACUUCAAGAAAGUUUUUGUAAAAUCUGUAGGUAGAAAUGCUCUAAGAUGUUCAAAAUGCAACAGUCCGGAUCACUUUGAAAAAGAGUGUCCUAUGGUUUGGAAACUUGUUAAGAAAAUAUGGGCUAAUACUGCUUAUGUUACUAACACCAAAGGACCCAAGAAAGUGUGGGUACCAAAGAAAGCUUGAGACUCUUUUUUAAAUGCAGGUCACCGUCAAGAAAAAGGUAAAGUGGUAUCUUGACAGUGGAUGCUCAAGACACAUGACAGGAGACUCAAAUUGCUUUAUAAAGCUUGCUCAAGUAAAUGGUGGAAAAGUUUCAUUUGGAGGAAACAGCAAAGGAAGUAUUGUGGGAUUUGGAACUGUGAAAAUUGGAAAUCUCACAAUAAGUAAUGUUUCCUUAGUGGAAGGACUCAAUUACAAUCUUCUCAGCAUUAGUCAAUUGUGUGAUACUGGUUUCAAGAUCUUCUUUCAAGAAGGAAUAUGUUCUGGAAUCAGUAAAGACUCUACUCAUUCUUUCAUGGGUCGUAGACAUGGAUUCAUCUAUCUUCUGGAUGUGAAACCAAAUGAAUCGCAAUGUUUUAUCUCAAUUCAAGACGAAGCAAGCUUAUGGCAUAGAAAGCUUGGUCAUGUCAACAUGAAGCAAUUAGCCAAAAUCUCAUCAAAGCAACUUGUUCGAGGACUACCCAAAUUACCUUAUCAAAAGACUGAUCCAUGCACUCCAUGUAUUCUGGGAAAGCAGGUAAGAAAUUCAUUUAAGCCAAUAAAUCAUGUCUCUAUUAAUCAUGUACUACAGUUGCUGCAUAUGGAUCUCUUCGGACCAACGAGAACACAGAGUAUUGGAAGUAAGAAAUAUUGCCUAGUAAUUGUGGACGAUUACUCCCGUUUUACUUGGGUAUAUUUCCUUACAAGUAAGUCCGAAACCUUCUCGUAUUUUGAAAAAUUUGCUAAAAAGGUUCAAAAUGAAAAAGGAUGUGUCAUCUCUAGUAUAAGAACAGAUCAUGGAGGUGAAUUUGAAAAUCAAGAUUUUACAAAAUUUUGUGAUGAAUCUGGAUUUAAUCAUGUGUUCUCUCCAUAUACUCCUCAGCAAAAUGGAGUUGUGGAAAGAAAGAACAGAUCUCUUCAAGAAAUGGCUAGAACUCUUUUAAUUGAAAGCAAGAUUUCUUCACGAUUUUGGGCUGAAGCUGUUUCAACAGCAUGCUAUAUCAUCAAUAGAGUCUUCUUAAGACCUAUUCUAGAGAAAACCCCUUAUGUGUUGUUCAAAGAUAAGAAGCCUAUUGUUUCAUACUUUCAUAUAUUCGGUUGCAAAUGUUUUAUAUUGAAAAAUGCAAAAGAUCGAGUUGGUAAGUUUGAAGAAAGAUCAGAUAAAGGUAUCUUCCUUGGAUAUUCUACAUCAAACAAAGCCUUCAGAGUCUAUAACAAGAAGAGCCAGUCUGUGGAGGAGUCAAUGAAUGUCAAAUUUCAAGACUCAACACAAGAUGAAUCAAGUCAGACUCAUCAAGAAGAGUUUGAACCUGCUCCAGACCUUCCAAAGCUUACAACUCAAGAAGCAUCUCAAACUCUGGAAAACCAGCAUCAGGAUGUUCGUGAAGAUCCAAACAAAGAGAGAGAGAUCAUCAACCAGACAAAUCAACAAGUAACUGGAAGCAUAAGUCCAGUCAUCCCAAAGAUCUUAUAAUCGGCGAAAUUAAUGAAGGAAUUCGCACAAGAUCCAAAAGGCGAGAAGAGUCUAGUGCUGUGGCUCUCAUUUCUGAAAUUGAACCAAAAAGUAUAGAAGAAGCUUUAUCUGAUGAAAGCUGGAUUGAAGCUAUGCAAGAAGAGCUCAGACAGUUCAGCAUUAAUGAUGUCUGGGAAUUGACAUCCAAACCAAAAGGUAAAACUGUUAUUGGAGCUAAAUGGGUGUUCAGAAACAAGAUGAAUGAGAAAGGAAAAGUUGUACGAAACAAAGCAAGACUCGUGGCCAAGGGAUAUACGCAAGAAGAAGGAAUAGACUAUGAUGAGACUUACGCUCCAGUAGCAAGGUUAGAAGCUAUUCGACUAUUUCUUGCGUUUGCUUGUUAUAAGAAUUUCAGGUUAUUCCAAAUGGAUGUCAAAAGCGCCUUCCUAAAUGGAUUUAUCCAUGAGGAAGUUUAUGUGGAACAACCACCAGGGUUUGAAGACCCAAAGAAGCCAGACUCAGUCUUUAGACUGAAAAAGGCUUUGUAUGGUUUAAAGCAAGCACCUCGGGCUUGGUACGACAGAUUAAGUAAGUUUUUAAUACAAAAUGGUUUUGUCAAAGGUAAAGUAGAUACGACUUUAUUUAUCAAAAAGGAAAACAAAAGUUUCUUACUUGUUCAAAUAUACGUGGAUGACAUUAUUUUUGGAUCCUCUAAUGAAAAUCUGUGCAAGAAAUUUUUUAAGUCUAUGCAGGAUGAAUUUGAAAUGAGUAUGAUGGGAGAGUUAACAUUAUUUCUUGGUCUUCAAGUAAAACAAUUGAAGGAAGGAACUUUUAUUUAUCAAGAAAAAUAUGUUAAUGAUCUUGUCAAAAGGUUUGGACUGGAAAAGUGCAAAAAGACCGACAUACCAAUGUCAAGUUCUUUGAAGAUAGACAAAGAUGAAGAAGGGAAGAAAGUUGAUCAAAAGCUGUACAGGAGCAUCAUUGGUUCACUUCUUUAUCUUACCGCUUCUAGACCUGACAUUCUGUUGAGUGUUUGCAUCUGUGCUAGGUUUCAAUCAGAUCCUAGAGAAUCCCAUCUCAGUGCUGCGAAACGCAUCAUAAAAUACGUUGCUUCAUCAUCAAGCAUUGGUCUUUGGUAUCCUAAGAAGGGAGACUUUAAUCUUCUGGGAUAUUCAGACGCAGAUCUAGCCAGUUGCAGAGUUGAUAGAAAAAGCACUUUGGGAACCUGCCAGUUGCUUGGAAGCAGGACAGUGUCUUGGUUUUCAAGGAAACAAAGCACUGUGUCCCUUUCAACAACAGAAGCAGAGUAUGUAGCCCUUGGAAGCUGCUGUUCGCAAAUUCUAUGGAUAAAACAGUAGUUAAGAGACUUUGAAAUUGAAGACUCAUGCACGGAGAUUAAUUGCGACAACACCAGCGCUAUCAACCUCACCAAAAAUCCAAUUCUCCACUCAAGAGCAAAGCAUAUAGAGAUUCGACAUCACUUUAUUAGAGACCAUGUUCAAAAUGGAGAUGUUUCAAUUCAAUUUGUUGACUGAAGGAGUCAACUGGCGGAUAUAUUCACAAAGCCUUUGGAGAAAAAUCAAUUUGAGUCUAUACGUUCCAGACUCAACAUUUUGAGGUAUGAGGAUAUCAAAGUCUAAAGACUUUCAGACUCAGACUUACAAUACUUUAUCUGAAAGAUAGUCUUGGUACAACCGUCAGACUGUAAGUCUUUCUCUCCUUAAUCUCAUCUUGAAAAGGUACGAUCGUCAGACUGUGUUUAAAUUGUUGCUAUAUUUAAUUGACGUAAAUAUUGCAUCGUUUCAUUUUCAAAAAGGAAGUUAUUUUUGAAAUGGCUAUUUUUGCAGAAAAAGACAGUUAUUUUGAAAAGGCAUUUUUUUAUUUCCUUUGUGACGGUUCGUUUAUCCCUCUUUUUAACCGAUCAAGCACUGUCGAUUCCUUUUCACUUUACUCUCGAAAACCCUAGAAAGCAUCGAUCCUCCAUUCCCGUUUGUCUUCUUUGUUUAAUCUUCAAAAAGUUGUCAUCUUUCCUGGGAAAGUCAAGCAAGGAAUCUUCCAAAAACUGAGAAAGAUGUCAUCUUCAAGAAAGUCUUCAAGAAUCGCAAGCAGGGGACCACGGCGGAUGAGUGAGGGGCCUACGCACUUCGAUCUUACUGAAGAAGAAGUGACUCCAGAACAGCAAGCGAGCCCACAACAUUCUCAGCAGCGUCAUUCUCCUCCAUCUAGUCCUCAAGGCGUUGAUCAUCAACAUCAGGAAGAAAUCAUCGAGGAUGCAGACCCUGUAAGAGUUCAAAAGCCCGCUUAUAUUUACCAGCUAUAUCGUGCUUUAAAAGGAAUCCGUACUCCUUUGAACUACAUUGAUGAUUUUCUUAAAGACAAAGGACAUGGGAAUGAAUAUAUCUUUCUGCGAAAAAUGGAAAGUUUGGGAAUUGCUCAUAAAGGGGUGGCUGAAGAAACCCUUGCGAAUAUCCCAAGUGAUCCUCGUGAUUGGGGGCCGAAUCUUGUAGAUGGGAAUGAUGAUGGCAAAUUAUACAGUCAAUUUCAACCAAAAAAUGGGUGUUGCGGUUGAAAAUCAAGGAAAAAUGGGAGAUUUGUUCAGAUUGAAGGAGCAAAAGGAUCUGUACUCGAAAUUGCUGAAGCGUGGGGUAAUAAACCCUAGGAGUGUGGAUUUUGAUUUUCUGGAUGCUGUGAAUAUGAACUUGAGGGAAAAGUUCUGUUAUCUUCAACUUGAAAAGUUCUACUCUGACACUACAGAGGCCUAUGCUGAUUUAACUGCAUAUUUCUAUUCAAAUCUUAGCUUUUUGGAUGUGAAUAGAUUCUCUUUCAGCGUUAAAGACCAAGACUAUGUUGUGGAUAUGAAUAUGCUGGCAGAUGUGUUAGAAGUCGAAAGAGGAAGAUAUCAACCAAUCAAAGUUUCCAUUGCUCGGGCCACACUUGAACUGGUGAAGGACAGGAUAACAGAUGAAAAGAUCACCUACUUAAGGAUGGGUGCAUUCAACAUCUUGCUUCACAAGAUUGUGAUUAAUUGCCUCCGACCGAAAUCAACUUCCAAGACUGAUGUUUCAAGUUUAGAGGCCAAGCUGAUGUAUGCCAUUCUCUUUGGAAAAAGGUUUUCUCUCCCUCACACUGUGAUGUUUCACAUGUAUAGAGCAAUGAUGAAGGACAGAGGUCAACUCCCUUACCCAAGCCUUGUUACGAAGUUAUUCAGACAUCUAAAUAUUCAGCCUCCGCAAAUCUUUUGUGUUCGACCAUGCGAUCAUAUGGUGGUAGGACUGAAAAUGGUGACCAAAAUGCGUCUGAAGGAAUUGAGCAAGGAGUUGGAGAAAUUCAAGGAGAAGACUCCUGCCAAAUCUCAUCAAAUCUCUUCUGCAGCUAAAAGAAAAGGGAAGGAGCCCAUUGUUGCUCCAUCCAAGAGAAGAAGAGCUCUCCUCGUUGAGGAUGAAGAUGAUGAGGAAGACAUCACCAUCUCUGCAAUGGCUUUGAAGAAUUUAAGUCGUCCUGUUCCACAGAAAGAAUCGGAACAAAUGACGAAAGAAGCAGAGGAGAAGGAAGAAGAAGAAAUAGAAGCUGAAAAAGAAACAGAGGAGGAAAGACCAAAAGAAGAAAGAAGAGAAGAAGGAGAACCUGAGGAACACUCUUCUCCACCUAUAGGCAUGGAAACAGGGGGAGAUCAGGAGAAAGGAGUGAAGUCUUCAUGUCCUGAUGCAAGUGAAGGAGUCAGUCGCUCACCAGCAGACCCAGAAGAUGUUUAUGCAUCUCAGUUUCCAGAAGAAGGUCAUGAAGUUUCAUCGCCAAACCUGCGAGAUUAUGCUGAUCUACCAUCGUCUGCAUUUACUCCAUCAGAUCGAGUCGAAGCAAGUACUCAGACUAAUAAUGGAGCUGAUUUUCGCAGAAUCAUGGAUAUUCUCUUGGAGAUGCGAGGUCAAAUUUAUGCCUUGGGAUGCGAAGUUCAAAGCUUGAAGAAUGAAGGUCAAGCUUCUUUCUGUUCAUUGAAUGAUAAAAUGCAAGCCCUCUCUGUUCAGAAUCAGGCCAAUGCCAAGAGUGAGGAGAUUGCACAACUAAAGGAAGACUUUAAAAGGCUGGAAGGCAUCGUUCAGUCUAUGGAAGAUUUCCAGCUUGUCCGCGUUCCCAAGCAAUCUUGACUUCAUCUCAUCCUUUUUAAUGAUGACAAAAAGGGGGAGAGAUGCAAGAUUUGAUCAAAAACUUUUCAUUCAUUAAACUUUUAAUUGUUUGUUGGAUUGUUUUGUGGUUUGAACUCUGUUUGAGGUUUGAACUCUGUUUGACUUUGUUUUGUGUCUGGAUGAGAACUGAACUAGACUUGGACUUGACUGCUUCUAUUUACUAAUAUUGAUAUCUUAUGAAUGGCUUCAUCAUAUACUGAACUAACCUAUUUUCUGUGGUUGCAGAUUCUAGUGUUAUCCUGUUAGCCAUUUAUCUCUAUAAGAUAUGCAUAUGUGUUUGAGAAAUGUUUUGCAGGUCAAAGAUAUCCAAAUCUGCAGGAAAGUUUUGUCACCAUCAAAAAGGGGGAGAUUGUUGGAGAAAUCUUCUUGAAGUGUUUUGAAGUUGACAAAACGUUUCUAUCAGUCUAGUCUGAAGGCUUGCAGACUCUGUUAUUUAAAGUCUGAAGACCUCCGAACAGCCAGACUCAAGACUCAAAGUCUAUCCUCAUUGACAGUCUCUAAUCCGUUGAAGAAAGGUUAUCCAGAACUGGAUGUUUCGUUAAGGAUUUAACCUUAUCAACUGGAGAAGAUCUCGUGGCUGGAAAAGACAUAACGGAGUCCUUUGAUUGAUCGAAGAUUGACUCGAUAAUUGAAGAUCCGGUGAUUGCCUAAAUAAUAUUGGAAGGUUCUGCUUAUGGAAACCGAGAUCCUGAUUGUAUGGGCGAACGGGAUUGAUGGGCUAUGAACACGUUCCUUUAAUAGCUUGAACAAUCUUCCUAAUUGAUUCCGUCCAACGGGUAGAUUGGAGGAAUUCCUUUGGUAAGUGCCAACGGGUAUGAUGGCAUAAAGGAGUAUAUAAGGAGGACUGUCUUAGUUGUUCAAGGUGUGCGCGAUAGAAGAAUUCCAAAGUCUGAAGCUCCUUUUUGUUUAGACAAAUCCUUUGAGCGAAUACUUGUAUACAAAAGAGAGUCUAUAUUUGUAAGAAAUCUUGAGGAGGUGUGGUAGAACAUCUACACUGUGGAAUCAAGGCAAAGAUGUGCUGUAACUUCUCUUUUGUUCAUAGUGGGAUCCAGCCAAUAGGCUGUCAGUGAAGAAGAGUGGACGUAGGCUUGAUAUAAGCCGAACCCCUAUAAACCGCGUGUUCAAUUUUCUCUUCUCUCAGUCUUACUUUGAUUAUCGUUUCCUUCAACUGUCUAGUAUUGUGCAAUUGUUGAAGAAAAAUCUUUUAUAUACCUAUUCACCCCCUUCUAGGUACUCAUACUAGCAAUAUCAGGUCCGAGAACCGGUUCUUGGGUGGUAAUCACCUAGAAUCAAUUCCUAGACUAGUUCAAAUUGAUUCCGAAUUUUGGGAACCAGUUCUUGGAUCGAUUUCAAUAGGAAUCGGUUUCUAACCCUAUUUUUCGAAUGGGUUGGUUAGGUUUCUAGGUAUAUCUAGUCCGAUUGCACACCCCUACAUAACCACCUCUACAAUAGAUAAAGUAAAAUCAUUUUGCAUCCAUAUAUAUAAGGAAAUUGAAUAUGCACCUUGCAAAUAUGAGCAGUUCAACAAUUGUUAGCUCUACAGGCUCAAUCUUGCUCUAAGCAUCAUCUAUGUCAUUACCUUGGCAGUAUCUUCUACUUCAGGAGUUUCUAAUUGCAACUCCACCUCAAGCUAAACACCAUUGGGAUUUGUAUAAACACUACUAAUAACAUUCCUACCCAGAAGUACUGAAAACUCGUCAAAUGUAAUUUCUCUAUUGAUAAUAAAUAAAUUUGAUUUCGAGUACCACAAUCAAUAGCUUUGCACACAUUGUGCAUAGCCUAGGAACAUGCACUUUCUUGCCCUCUUAUUGAGCUUACCAUUAUUAAUUCAAACAUAACAUAAACAAUCAAAUAUCUUGAGAACAAUAUAAUCAGUAACUUUACCUUACCGCACUUUUUUGGAAGUUCGACAUCCAAUCUCAAUCAUUGGGGAUCUAUUCACCUAAUUGCUUGUUGUAUGAAGCACAUUGGUUAUGUGACACCCCGAACCCUUCGCAGGUCAUCACCAGCGCUGGUGUUACAUCUUUUACCAUCUCUAUCUCUUGGCUAAAUUAAGCCUUGCCAGAUUACAGGCAUUUUUUUUUUUUAAAGCGGUCCCAUGCACGACUCAUAGCGGAAGCAAAAUUCACAUCGUCAUCUAUCUCCCUUCUAACCCAUGAUACAAAUACACACCAGCUAAACAUCGGCAUUUUUAUAAACAAACGUCGACAUAUUAUUUACAUAUAUUUUCAAGAUGGGACUACUCUCGGGUCGGUACAUAACAAGGAAAAGCUAGGACUCAGCCAUGUCCAGCCUAAAACCUCAAAAAGAAACCUCGACCCCUAACAUCAUGUGAACAAGGAACCCUCCCAUCGAAAGCGUCGACUAACUACAUCAAAAAGAGAUCCAGCUCCUACUCAUCGCGCGCAGGUCUCACACCCAACCCGGUGCAUCAGGUGGUGGCGGUGGCAGCAUCCCUCGCAUCUCUCCAUCCCGUCGAACGUGCACAGACAGGAACUCUUGUAUGACAGGGCCCCCAGCCAGGCCGAUAUCAUACAUAACUAAGCAUCGCACUCGGAUAAACGUCAAUCCGGGCACAGAGGGACAAUCUAUCUCCGUACACUCCACCUCAACAUUAGACGGUAGACCGUAAAAUACCCCACACGAAACAGCAGGUAGCGACAUAGUGCUAAUCUGAAAUGUUAUCCCCAAAAGGGGUGAGUACAACCACUCAGCAGAUAGGGAAAUCCAAUAACAACUCAGUGCACCAUGCAUAUCAUCAUACAAUGCAGGCAUUGCUUACCUUUUUGAUGUCAAGCGUAUUCAUGCAUCAAUAAGAAAAAGAAUUCGAAACGCAAAAUUUUUAUCCCAAUUCACCUCAAAACUAGGACUACGUCCAAUUGGGGAUUUUACUAUAAUUAGCAUGUCACAUCUCUCUAUGACAUCAUUCAACAACAAGAGAAAGAGAAUAAUAAAUAUACAUACAUACAUACAUACAUACAUACAUACAUACAUAUAUAUAUAUAUAUAGUAGUUAUUCAUGAGCCCAAGCCGAGACUACCAAUAAAAUUUGAGACCCCAUUUUAUCUUGUCGGUAGGAAUUAUGAACCACAUCCAAAUAAUGGCAAGCCUGGUAUUUCCAGGCUCAUUUCAGCGCAAGUCAAGUUUGGAAAGGGUUGAGCUUGUUAUGAAAGCGGUAAUAUAUGGCAUAGAACAUAUAAGGUUUGAUCGAUAGUAAGGCAAAUGAAACUUCAUGCUCCGCCGCCAUGUUGACGAGCCAUUGAACAAAAGGUUGGCGCUUCCAGGUUCUCGUAACAAUCGGGGAGGUUCCAAACUUGGCCAAGGACUCCAUGUAACAGUCGAGGAGGGUCCUCCGGUUGAAGUCAAAGCUAGGUUGUCCAAGUAGUAGAGAAGCUCAAUCCCAGAGGCGGAAUACACAGCGGCCAAGGAGUAUUUUAGCAUGCGGUGGCGCGCUUGACGAUAAUGCCCUUGGACAGUAGCUUCAUCCCCGGCCUGAGCAUGGGGUUCAUGUGUUCUUGAGAUGCGAAUGCAACCAUUAAAACAUGGUGUUGCUUUUCUGUCUCGUCCAUCAAAGUCAUGAACACAAGCGCAGAAAGGACAUAGGCAGACAAAUAAGGGCAAAGAGAGAGAGAGAGAGACUGAGAGACUGAGAGAGAGAGAGAGAUUGUGUAUAUAUUGAGUGAAACGAGCAUGUGCGUGUAAGGUUAAUAAGCAUCAGCUUUUGUGCGUCCUAUUAUGUGAAGUAAAAUUAAUACUAUAACUCAUUACAGCGGUCCCUCACUUAAUUCUUAGAUAUUUUAGUAGUUUGAAAAUAUUUGUUAGAAAUUAUGACUGCUAUAAAAGUUCUCAUUUUUGUUAUGGUUUUACAAUGGCCAUAUAAUGGUUUUGUCACGGCUUUUUAGCGGUUUUAUAACGUUGGAUUUAUUUGAUAAUGCCUAUACAACGAUCGUCUUCUUCAAUAAUUACUAAUUAAUUUAUCACUAUUUCUUAACGGCUCUCUUUUUCUUCUUUUUUUACCUAUAAAUUAUUACUCUAAACACAAUUGGAAAGUCAUAUUGAUAUAUCAGAACAACAAUAUUCUUAUUUCUCUUUGCGUGUCUUUCAUUUUAUUGUUGGGUUUUGAACAUAAUGCUAUUUUUAUUUUCUUCUAAUAUUCAGUGUGGACUAUAAAAAAAAAAAAAAAAGUCUGUUGUAUCCUAGAAUGAUAGCUGCUAGAGCCUUAUGCACUAACUUGCAUACUCCAAUGAGCGGAAUUAUUCUAAAGAACAGUCCUUGUAUGCUUUAAACAAUUCAUUUAUUUUCUAAUAUUUUUCAAUGCAUUUUCAACAAUUUUCCAACAUAAUUUGAGUACCCUAAAUUAGAAAUCGUAUACACAACCACUGAUUCUUGAACCGAAAGAACUAGACCGCCUCUACCAUUGGAUCAAUCCCAGGUUGGUAUGAUGUUAAAAGUUAAUCGACUUCAAAUCCAAACUUUAAAAGAUAACCAAGACUGAAACAGGAAAUCAGAGCUCAAUGUAAACUCAAAUGCGCACUGAAUUUAUUCUAACCUCAAGCGGAUGGCAGCAUAUGCAGUAGAGCUCCCAACACGCUAUGAAAAGGGAACAUGAAACGUAGCACGACAAGCAUACGGAACAAGAAUCUUAGUAGAGGACGUAUCAUGAACCUACUUCGAGCAUGCGUAAGACAUGAGAGAAACAAAAAGGUCAAACGCUUGCCAAGAAAUUGUUCAAUUGGUCGAAAUCUCACAAUCAAGUUGGUCAUGAGUUUUGCUAAAGGAAAAAAUAAAAUCUGAACUACUUCAAGUUGGAACCAACUAAAGCUUCUCGAUGAGGUUUGAAUGGUACGUUGAAAGUGAUAUUUAAGCAACUCCUUCUAACGGAAUGUACCAUAUUAGUCCUUUGUAAAUAAUUAAAAAACGAAGAAAACUCGACAGAUAAUUGAGGCAUUUAUGACACCAACAAGUAAGGGUUUUUCUGGUUAUACGUGCCGCUAUUCGAGAUCUUAAAGCUUCAGAAAUUCCAAUAAUUUGUUUGUUCAAUACAUACUAUCACUGGAUCUUGCGAUUCUAGUAAACGAUGACGCCAUGAUUUCGAUCCGAUCAAUUAUUAACAAAUCAGUAUAUGCAAUUUGUGAGGGUCAUUUUAGCUAAUGGGAGUCCUUGAUAAAUAAAUAAUCUUUUGAACUCCAUAGAUUUUGAAUCGCAUGAAACUGAUCCGAAUUGCUUUCCUAAUCAGUCUUGAUUUGUAAGAAUCCCCUUCAUAUCAACCUAAUGAUGAAGAAAACGACGGAACAGCAAUUUUGUGUCGAUUCUCCACCCCUAUUUAAGUGAGGAACUUUGCAUCAGAUGAUCACCAGAACAAAGCUUGCUUCGAAUUAAGCUACAAAGAUUUGUACUGCAAGAGAUGGACUCUUGGCUUCAAAUCCUAGUUCUCGUUGCGUGCAUCACUCCGGCCGUGGUUGAGGGCAGAGUCCGUAACUACACAUUCAAUGUAAGUAACAACAUUAUGGAAUGAAGUAUUCCUCUGUAAAACUUGCUUGUUUGGACGGUAGCCCGUGCAGCGAUGUGUAUUUAUUCCUCUAAUCGGCAGGUGGUAAUGAAGAAUACCACGAGACUGUGUUCGAGCAAGCCCAUCGUGACCGUGAACGGGAUGUUCCCGGGACCCACUCUCUAUGCUAGGGAAGAUGACACCGUGCUCGUGAGGGUCUCUAACCGUGUCAAAUACAAUGUCACUAUCCAUUGGUGAGCUCAACUGAGCAUUAAAUUAAAUUGUUAUCUUCAAGAGAUUGCAUAUUGCAUAUUAAUUUUGGUGUAUAUGCGGUCAGGCAUGGUAUCCGGCAGUUGAGGAUGGGGUGGGCCGACGGGCCGGCAUACAUUACCCAAUGCCCGAUCCAGCCGGGCCAAAGCUAUGUGUACAAUUUCACCAUCACGGGUCAACGGGGCACCCUCCUGUGGCAUGCACACAUACUCUGGCUCAGGGCAACCCUGCACGGAGCCAUUGUCAUCUUGCCCAAGCGUGGUGUUCCAUACCCUUUCCCUAAACCCCACAAGGAAGUUGUUGUCGUAUUGGGUAUGCUCGAUUUCGCUUCCAAUCUACUUCACUUCCAAAAUGAAAGAUCAAUCAUUGCUUGGUUGACAGCAUAUACUAGUAGAAGCUCUGAACCAUUUUGGGGUUUGUGAAUCAGGCGAAUGGUGGAAAUCUGAUACAGAAGCUGUGAUCAAUCAAGCCAUCAAGUCCGGAUUAGCACCGAAUGUCUCCGAUGCUCACAUGAUCAAUGGCCAUCCAGGGCCAAGUUCCAAUUGCCCUUCCCAGGGUAACAAUCCAUCGACAAACGUUGCCAUGAAAGCAACAUCUGAAUCUUGAUGAAGCAGUUUAGUUUAAGUUCCACUGAGUUGAUGUUGACCUUUAUUUUGUCUGAUGUUAGGUGGAUUUACGUUGCCUGUUGAGAGUGGCAAGAAGUACAUGCUGCGAAUCAUCAACGCUGCGCUCAAUGAGGAGCUCUUCUUCAAGAUUGCCGGGCACCAGCUGACCAUCGUGGAGGUCGACGCCACCUACGUCAAGCCUUUCAAGACCGACACGAUCGUGAUUGCACCUGGCCAAACCACCAAUGCCCUCAUCUCCACCGACCAGAGCUCUGGCAAGUACAUGGUCGCCGCCUCCCCUUUUAUGGACUCCCCGAUCGCCGUUGACAACAUGACCGCGACCGCCACAUUACACUACUCUGGCACGCUUGCUGCGACCUCCACGACCCUCACCAAGACUCCCCCACAAAACGCGACCGCUGUGGCCAACAAUUUCGUUAACUCGCUCCGGAGCCUCAACUCGAAGAGGUACCCUGCCAAAAUCCCUCUUACCGUCGAUCACAGCCUCCUUUUCACAGUUGGACUAGGAAUCAACCCUUGCCCUUCCUGCAAAGCUGGCAACGGAAGCAGAGUCGUGGCCAGCAUGAACAACGUGACAUUCGUGAUGCCGACGACAGCCAUUCUCCAAGCACAUUUCUUCAACAAAAGCGGCGUCUUCACGAGCGAUUUCCCCGGUAACCCGCCAACCAUUUUCAACUACACGGGGUCACCGCCAUCAAAUUUGCGGACCACAAGCGGGACAAAGGUGUACCGGUUGCGUUAUAACUCGACGGUCCAGCUGGUGUUGCAAGACACCGGGAUUAUCGCCCCAGAGAACCACCCAAUUCAUCUUCACGGGUUCAAUUUCUUCGCCAUUGGGAAGGGAUUAGGAAAUUAUAAUCCGAAAGUGGAUCAGAAGAACUUCAACCUUGUUGAUCCUGUCGAGAGGAACACAAUAGGAGUACCAUCUGGGGGAUGGGUUGCAAUCAGAUUCAGAGCAGAUAAUCCCGGUACAAUUCUAGUUUAUCGACUAUUCUCGUUUACUCUAUACCAAAAAUUUAACCACUCUGCAAGUUUUUCAUGACUCUGUCGUUGAAACUUUUUGCAGGCGUUUGGUUCAUGCAUUGUCAUCUGGAAAUUCACACAACCUGGGGACUCAAGAUGGCCUUCUUGGUGGACAAUGGGAAAGGCCCGAGCGAGUCGCUUCUACCGCCUCCAAGUGAUCUUCCGAAGUGUUGAUCAAUGGGGAAAAUUUUGAUAAUCAAGUAUGCGGCAUCUGGAGAUGAAGAGUGAUGAGAAGACAAAAUAUGUAGGUGGUUUUGUCCUAGUACAAUGAAGAUCAGAAUUGUUUCUUGAGCAAAAGUAGGAAGAGUAUUGCUCAAGCAUGUUAAUUAAGAAAAAAAAAAUUCCAUGUUUUGAUUGCAAAGUUCGUAUUUCGUAAGAAUUUUUCAUAAUCAGCUAGGUGCUAAAAAAAAUUCUGGAAAAGAAAAAAGAUUCUACCGUUCGCCAAAAUUGCAAAUACUUGACAAGUUAAUUGUGCACACAGAGACUAGACUAUGAUGUUUUGGUUGAUAAUGGGCCUAAUGAUCUAACAGUGACAUAUGAUGGAUAGGUCCAAUAAAUAUUAUCAUAUAUAGCUAAGGUCUCCUCUCUGCUCCUAACACACAUUCUAGGCUUUAUCCUUCGGGAGCCGUCAAAGGAGGAGGAGAUAGAAGAGGAAAUAGCUAAUUAAAAGGAAUCAAUCAAAAGCAAAUUCAUAGAUUCCACACACCGGACUAUCCGUGGCUGAGAGCCCUUACACCACAGGCACAAAGAUGCAAUCAUUAGAAUUGUGCACAGCCACUAAGUUAAUAGCCCAUCUUAUGGGCCUCUCCUCUAGGCCCACCAGAUCAAAAGCGAGAGAAAGCACGGCUCUCUUUUUCCCUUCUUUGCCCCUAUAUCACCAUGUGAAAGGGGCAUGAAGACAUAAAAAAGGGGGGAUUUUACCAACUUGCUCUGACUUAAAAUAAUAAAGUUAAAAGUUCUUCUCACUUCAUCAUCCAUAUAAUAAAAGAGAAGUUGCAUUUCUUAAUUGAACUUGGACGUAGCUCGUCCCUUUUUGGAUGUAAAGCGAUGUCAAACCUAAACAUUUGAUGAGAACUAUCUCUCCCUAAAAUGGAGGUGAGCAAGCCAUACCUUCUAGUAUAGCUACCUUGCUAUGAUUUCAUCUAGUCACAAACCCCACCUCUGGCAUCAUCCUCCUCGUGUUUUAGAUAAUGACUUCAGGCAUAAUCAAAUGACAUAGUUUGAAAGGGUGUGUGUUAUUUGAAUGUAUCAUGUACAUGUUUCUUGAAUUGUUGCAGAAGCAAGCGAUCAAACAAUAAUGUAAAUAAAACAAGAAAAUAAAUAGGACAUUAAAUUUACGUGGUUCCAUCAGAUGACUUAUGUCUAUAGAAAAAACAGCAAUAUAUUCUACUAUAGAUCAAGCGAUACAAUAGAGAUUGAAACCAUACUCAAGUCAUUUAAACACUAUCAUUGUCUUCUAGCUCCAAUUACAUGCAAUAACCCAAAUAAUGUUUAACCCCACAAUUAAGCACGAAAUAAGCUCUCAAUCUAAUAAAGGAAUGAUACACAAAUUUUUACCACAAGAAUUUAAUUGGCUUCAACACUUGAAUUGUUUGUGUAAUUUCACAAAGAAACCCCACUACCAAGCACCUAUGUCUAUGGGAUGUUACUCACAAAUUGAGCACCCAUGACACUCACAAAGAGAACAUCACUUGACUUCUUGAGAAAAACUUCCCUUGGCCCAUAUGUAAAUAUUUAUAAUAGUCAUUAUGAAGUCCUUUGCCAAAUUCCUUGACUUCUGUCUUUUCCUUUUUUUUUCAAUUUUCCUUGAUUGAUAUGCAAGACCUUCGACUUAGAGCAUAAUGAAGAGGAAAUAUGAUUUCCAUGGCACACCACCACGAACAUCCACAUAUAUUCCAUUUAUCUGAGUCGGAUUUCAUUGCGGGGUCAAACUUGAGAUAUUUUAAUAGACUCAACCUUAAUUCAAUAUUGAGUCAAGUCAUCGCUUCGUUGGAAUUUGGACUUCACUACUACUUUCCUAUAGUCCUUUACAAGCUCAACCAUCACAAACAUUUUCCAAGUCCAAGUAUUAAAUUUCAGCAUAAUUGUAGACCUCAUCUAAACACCAACAACACUGGCACUUUUAACUGCUCCCCAUGACACAACUAGGGGUGAUCGGGUCCAUACCUGGAUCCUAUACCUGAUCCUGUUGUAAUCGGUUCAACUUUUUUUUUACCUUGUACCCGACCCUAUUUGCACUAGACCCUAUCCUGUUGUUAUCGGUUCAACUUUUAACUGCUCCCCAUGACACAACUAGGGGUGAUUGGGUCCAUACCUAGAUCCUAUCUUGAUCCUAUUAUAAUCGGUUCUACUUUUUUUUACCCUGUACUCGACUCUGUUUGCACUAGACCCUAUACUCAAACCACCAUGUUUUUCCAAUCCGGUUCCAAGAUCAACCCUAUUCCACUAGAUCCUGUUUUGCAAUCGUCCGAGAUCCUAUACGGCUUUGAAUUAUACAUUAAUACACGAGAACAUUUUAGAGGGGACUAAGGUUGACACCAAAUUCUGGAGUUGCUGAGCGAAAAUUCACCAAUUGACAAAUAAUCAAUGGAAACAAUCUGUAUAACGCGCGCUAACAACACAUUUACACAAAAGAGCCUAACAAAUUCGAGAUAAGAAAGACUGGAGAUUCCUAACCUCAAUAAAAUUGGUGAACUUGGAAUUUCUGUUGACCACCAACUGAUGAACCUAGAAAUCCAUGAAACCAUGUGCACAAGAGAAGACAGAGUACAGCUAAGCAAAAUGCCAAUUUGGCCCCGAGAAAUAGGGAACAAGCAUAAAAUCGAGCAAAAAGGGCUAUCUCGUACUCAAGCUUGUGCUUCUGAGAGUCCUUAAGGGGGACGUAGUACUUGGCGAGAUAGGUCUUGCCAUGUUGGUUCUGCAACAGUAUGUUUUGGAUCACAAGAAUUUGGCGAUAGCAGAUGCCAUCUGUUGAAUGGUGUGAGAAAGAGCCGGCGAUGGACGGUGUGAUGGUGAGCUAGCGAUGGAUAGUGCAAUGGUGAGCUGGCGGGCGAGGAAGGAAUGACGAAGGAGGAGUGUCGAGAGGAAAAAACGUCGUGCGACUGUGAACUGAUUCCAAAAUUGGUCCAGAAACCGGUUCUUGGGUGGGUAAUCACCUGGAACUGAUUCCCUAAUGGGUUCAAAUCGAUUCCAUAUUUUGGGAACCAAUUCCCAUACUGUUUUCAAGAGGAACCGGUUCCAAACCCUCUUUUCCGAAUGGGUUGGUUAGGUUCCUAGGUAUAUCCAAUCUAAUUGCACACCCUUAGACACAACCACCUCUACCAUAGAUAAAGUAAAAUCGUUUUUGCAUCCAUAUCUAUGAGGAAAUCGAAUGUGUACCUUGCAAAUAUCAGCAGUUUAACAAUUGUUGGCUCUACAAGCUCAAUCUCGCCAUAAGCACCAUCUGUGUCAUUACCUUGGCAGUAUCUUCUACUUCAGGAGUUUCUAAUUGCAACUCCAUCUCAAGCUAAACACCAUUGGGAUUUGUAUAAACACUACUAAUAGCAUUCCUGCCCAAAAGUACUGAAAACUCGUCAAAUGUAAUUUCUCUAUUGAUAAUAAGUAAAUUUGAUUUCGGGUACCACAAUCGAUUGCUUUGCUCACCUUGUGCAUAGCCUAGGAACAUGCGCUUUCUUGCCCUCUUAUCAAGCUUACCAUCAUUAAUUCGUACAUAACAUAAACGAUCAAAUAUUUUGAGAACAAUAUAAUUAGUAACUUUACUUUACCAAACUUUUUUGGAAGUUCAACAUCCAAUCUCAAUCAUUGGGGAUCUAUUCACCUAGUUGCUCGUUGUACGAAGCACAUUGGUUAGGAAUUUCUUAGCCAUAAAAGCAUUAGAGAGUAUUUUUUGGGCCGUCUCUAGUAAUGUUGUACUUAGCAAUUUUGCAGCAUGUCGUGAUUUAUUGGCACUAGUGUGAUGUUUCACUAUACCUUCCUUCAUGCAUAAUUCAUUUAACAACUGUGAGUAGAAUUCUAUACUACUUACUAUCAAUUUGCAUAUGCUCAUUCAUUUUACCAUGCUCCUUUUCGAUCAAAACUCUCAACUCUCCAAUCCUAACAUCAUAAACUUGUGCCUUAGUAAAACACCUAGAUCAUCCUUGAGUAUUCAUCCACAAUUGUUAACAUAUAUCUGGCAAUCUUUCUUGAAGAAAUUCGCUACAACUUGCAAACAUUCAAAUGAGUCAACUCUGCAAUCUCCAUGGUUUUUCUAACACCUGUACUGAAUUGCACAUUUUCCCGUUGAUCUAAAUCACAACACUUGCAUACAUUUAGUUUAUUAGUAAUGUAACCAUAUAAUAAAUUUCUUUAACUUAAAAUUUCCAAGCUUCUCUCAUUAAUGUGCCCUAAACUAGGGGUGAGCAUAGUUUUUGGGUAAUACCACUGAUCCUAAGUCCUAGAAUAUGUAGGGUAAGUUAUAAGUUCCCAAAACUAUUUCGAUGAGUAGGUUUCAAGUUCUAGGUGAAACUGAAAACCAAAACAAGUCUUUGUUGUUUUUCUUAUUCUAUGUCUUCACGUGAGCCUAGGACAUUUCAAGUGUCCAAUGAUGAGUAUAAUCUAAAAAUACUAGCUUGAACUUCCAUUUGCGGUUAUAUUCAUGAUUGAGAAUUUUAUUUUGUUAAUAUUUCAUAAUCUCCGUAUCUUUAAAUAUGGGUUGUGAUAAGCGAAUUAUUGCAAAUGGUGGUCAUUAAUAGUGAUAAUUCACUACAACCAUUCAAUUAAGAAUACAAGUGGAACCUAGGUAGGCCCUAAAACCUAUUAUCGGGUAGAUUUUAGGUUCUUAGACAUGCAAAGUAGGUUCUAAGUUCCAAAAAUUAUGAAUCUUGUUAUGACAGGCAAGUUCCAAGUUUUAGGUUCCACUUAGAACCACCUAUAAUCGUUCACCUCUACCCUAAAUCAUAUGUCAUAAUUUAAACUCUUGAUCAAAUGCAUCUGACGUUUCCGUAACAAAACCUAUCAUUGUCUCAUCUUAAAACUCAUGUAAACCACUAUGCUUCAUGUCUUUUCAUUAUCACUAAUGCACCUCAAACAACUUUUAGAAUUUCACAUUCUGAAAUAUAACGACACACAAUUGAGUUUAAGGCACUCAAGGAAAUCAGGUUCUUCUUCAACUCUAGAACACACCUCACUCCAGUCAAUGUCUUUACAAUAUUGUUAUUCAUUUGGAUUCUAACAUUACCAACAUUUACAAUAUUACACUCAACGUUGUUAUAUGAUUAUAUUGCUACUAUAUGUGCAUUGAUAGGUAAUAAACCAAUUCCUAUUUGGUGUUGCGUGUAACAAGCGAUCACAAUCCAUAAUCCUUUCACCAAACGACGAAUUAGUUGUAAGAGACAAUACAUGAUCAAUAUUAUCUGAAGUACUAUCUGCCAUUACAGUAACGUCAUUUGCAAACUCAACUCUAAUUUCCUAACUCUUUGAAUUCUUCAUCUUAAAGUAAUCCCUUUUAAAAUAUCCCCUCUUGUCACAACUUCAACACAUCACCAUCAAUCCUAGAUUGGCUAUGUCUAUUUGAAUUUACACCACUCUUGCUAACACACGUAUUAGAUCUUCCUUUAUUUUACCUGCUAAAGUAGUAAAUGCAGACAGAUACUCCUCAAUGGAUGUUCUCACUCAGAAUCAAAUCUCAAAUCUCAUCAAACGUCAAGCUUAUUGAUCCAUAUAAAUUACUAAUAGUAGUAAUAGUAGUAUUCCAACUAUAAGACAAUAGGGAUAAUAGAAUCAAAUCAUGUAAUUUAUCAUCAAAGUCAAUCUCAACUUAACUUAAUUGACUAACAAUCACAUUUUAUUUAUUGAUAUAAUCAACAACUGACGCACAUUCACUUAUAUUCAAGUUAAAUUGGUGUCAUAUCAAGUAGACUAUAUUGAUCAUCGAGGACUUCUCAUAUACUUUUUAUAAGGCUUUUGUCAAUUCCACAGUGAUCUUAUCGUUCACACUAUUAAAUGCGAUGUUACAAGCCAACGUAAGCCAAAUAACACACAAUGCUUGUCUAUCUAGCAAUUCCCAUUCAUCUUGCUUCAUUGACUCAUUUCUCUCGAGAUAAGAGUAAGUGCAAAUUUCUUAAAUACAAAUAAUCAUCAAUAUGCAUCUUUUAGAAACCAAAAUCAUUUUGAUUAAAUUUGUCAAUUCUCACUCUUCCUUUUUUGGUCACCAUUGAUUCAUUUCAACUCAACCAAACUUAGCUCUGAUACUCAUUGUUAUAGAAGCAAACGAUCAAAUAAUAUUAUAAAGGGCUGGCAAUUUGUGCAUUCUUAGUAUACUGUUCAUCAUCUUCUCUCAAGAGGGUGAUUUUCACACUGUUCAUCCUACCUGGUCUUCAGCUCGUCCCGUGAGCUUUAGCCGCUAGUUUGUCUCAAUUUGUGGAGAGUUUCUUCUUCUAGCUUCCCUCCAUCUUCCCACUUAACGGUUUGUUCCAAUUUGCCCCUUAGGGGAGAUUGAAGCAGCCCUAUUUCUUCCCCGAGUCACUGUCAGCCCCUGCACUGGUUCUGCUCGAGCUGGUUCCAGAGCUAGACGAAGGGCCUUGCGGUGGUUGUGUUGGCCCUGUAGCACCCCUCCUCUCCUUAUUGCAGCCUUUGCCCUAGUAUUGUGGCAUCCCAAAAUUCAAAGCCAAGCCAUAAGGUGUGUUAAAGUCUCUAAUUAGGUGAUAGAAUUUCCAUGGCUUAUGUUUUAGCCAUUAGUCUUUUAAUUAGAUGAUUUGUGCAUAUGAUUGUGGAAAUUUUAAAUUUGAUAGAUUAAUAAUUUAUGCUUGGCCAUGUGCUUUAUAAAUUAAAUUCCAAUAACCAAGAUGUCCCAAGACUUUGGCCAAGAUGAGAAUUGAAGUUUAAAAAUAUUUAUAGAAGAAAUUCAAAAAAAAAAGGGAAAAAUGGGUUAAUUUUUGGAAUGGGCCUUAGGCCCAUUGGCCUAAGCCUUUAAUGGACCAAGAUGGGCGGCCCAUUGAAGCCCACAAGUGGGCUGUCGCCAGCCCUAGAGGAGGCCCAAGCCCAAAAAGCCCAAGCCCAAAUUCAAAAAAAUUCAAUGUGACAAGUGGCAAAGGGGAAGGCCAUGCAUUGGUUGGUUUAUAGGCAAGUCAUGAUUGCUAAUCAUGAGGAUUAGGGGAGUAUAAAAGGGGAAGAGAGAGAGAAGGUGGCCGGUUUACUCCAUUCGGCCGAGAGAGAGGGUGAGAGAGAGAGAGAGGAGUGCGAGAGAGAGGGAGAGGCUGAGAGAGGAAGGAGGCGGAGCCGAGGAGGAGCCGCCGUUUUCGCCGCCGUUCGCUGUCGACCGUCCGUCCUAGAGGCAAGUGGGAGUCCUCUAGCUUCUCUUGCAUGCUUGUAUGUCGUUUGCAUGUUGAAUCUUUGAGUGUUAGAUGAGAAAAACCGAAGCAUGGAUGAGUGGUGUGUGAAUGGUGUGGCUGUUUGUGUUCGGAUCGUGUGAGUCAGAAACUUGUUUGAGCUUGCAUGUGUGUUUAGAGUCCGAUUUUGGCUUCGAUUUCUUCAUGAGAGUUGUAGCUAACAUCUUGAAAUACAACAUACUGAAAUUUCGUGGAAAAUGAUGGAGAUUUGAGGGAUUAAAGUCUUGUUCUACGGAGACCUCAGAUCUGGAGAGUUUUUACUGACCUCUUGUUGGAUUCGUGGUUGCAUGUUGGUUUUUGUUGAGAAUCUCACUUCGGUUUCUUCAUGAAAGUUGUAGGAGACAUCUUAAAAUACAACAUAAUCAAAUUUUAAGUGAAACUAACAAGUGUAGCCUAGUAAAUCGACUAGAUCUUGAAGAAGAUGAUUCUGGUGAUAUAUUUUGAGAUACCCGAGACUUCAAGGACCUAAAUGAUGACUCUACUCUGGUUAUUUGACUUAGAUCUCUUCAUGAAACUUGUAGAGGAUACCUUGAUGUAUAACAUAUCUAAAUUUCAGAGGAAACGAAAGAGGAUAAGUAGGUGAAAUCUCAAUAUUUCGGAGAUGUGUACACUGGACGAUGCGGUAAUGGAUCCAGAAGCUUCGUGAGGUUGUAUAAAAUAAUAUAAAAAGAAUCUGGCUUGAAGUUUUUCAUAAAAGUUGUACGAAAAUGUUUUGGCUAUCACUCUGUAAAAGUUCAUAAUUUUUGGAGACCAUAUGGAUAUUUUAAUCAAAUUUAUUCGGAAACUGUGCAUUCUGGUUAUUAUCCGAAUAUUAUGUGCUAUUUUGUAGAAAUUGUGAAAUUGUGUGAAAUUCAAUUUGGCCAUGAAUUUUGCAUGAAAUUGUCAUCCUAUUGGUUUGUUUAAUGAUGGCUUGAAUUUUAUGAUUUUGGGAAAUUAUAGAUAUUGAAUUUAAUAUUUAUUUAUGAUAAUAAAAAUAAAUAAAAAUAAUAAUAAAAUAAUAGUAAAUAAAAUAAAAUGGAUUAUUUUAUUGGCCAUAAAUUCCAUUGAAUUUAUUAAUAAAUAAUUAUACAUUGUUGCAUGUAUGAUAAGACAUUGGUGUAUGUAUGACCAUGAAUUGUGAUGCAUGUGUGAAUCAUAUGCCAUGUUAAAAUGAGAUCAAAAUGAUGAUAAAUGUGGACAAUGAUAAGUGAAUAAGUGGUUGUGGUGGAGGAUGAGGCCGGAAUGUACGGAGAUGCAUUGCCAGAAUUCCCUGGGAGAUUUAGGAUGCCCGGAAUGUGGGGGGCCGGAAGCCUUGUCGGAGGUCUUUGCCCGAAAGGAAUGCCUCGCGAUGCCAGGAUUGGGGUGCGGGAUGCCCAGCCAGGGAGUGUAAAUGCCAGAAGCCCUGUCGGAGGUUUCUGCCCGAAGGGAAUGCCUCGCGAUGCUAGUUGAGAUGUGAGAUGCCCGGAAUGUGGGGGGCCGGAAGCCCGGUGGCCAUGGGAUGGCUGAAUGCUGGGAGCCCUGUCGGAGGUUUUUGCCCGAAGGGAUGAUGAAAUUGAUGAUUUGAGAAAUGGGUGAUGUGGUGAUCAAAUUGAAAGCUAAAAGUGGAAAUUAAACCAUGAUAUGAUAUGCAUGAUGAUGAUAAUAUGUGAUGUGAAAUAAUGAUGAUCACCCAUGAUAUGAUAUGCAUGAUGAUAUGCAUGAUGAUGAUGAUAUGUGAUGUGAAAUAAUGAUGAUCACCCAUGAUAUGAUAUGCAUGAUGAUAUGCAUGAUGAUGAUGAUAUGUGAUGUGAUAUGAUGAUCACCCAUGAUAUGAUAAUGAUGAUGAUAUGUGAUGUGAUAUGAUGAUCACCCAUGAUAUGAUAUGCAUGAUGAUAUGCAUGAUGAUGAUAAUGAUGAUGAUAUAUGAUAUGGUACGAUGACAUGUGUAAUGUAAUGAUGUCAUGAUGAUGAUGACAUGUAUGAUGUAAUGAUGCCAUGAUGACGAUGACAUGUAUGUUACGAUGAUGAUACACAUGAAUGUGUUAUGAAUUGAUAUGAUGAUGCAUGAUAGUAUGCGCAUGGCUUCAAGGUAAGUAAUGCUUGCAAUGCAUGUAUGAUUGCAUGAUGCAUUGAGUUGUUAUUGGAUUUCCCUAUCUGCUGAGUGGUUGUACUCACCCCUUUGGGGACCCACAUUUCAGAUUAGCAGUAUGCCGCUUCCUGCCGUCACGCGGGGGGUGUUUUACGGUCUACCAUCCAAUGUAGAGGUCGAGUGUGCUGAGAUAGACUGUCCCUCUGUUCCCGGACUGACUUUUAUUCGAGUACGUUGUCUAGUGAUGUACGACAUAGGCCUGGCUAGGGGCCCUGUCAUUCAGGAGUUCAUAUCUGUGCAAGUUCGUCGGGAUAGAGCGAUGCAAGGGAUGUUGCCGCCGCCACCGCUUGAUGCACCGGGUUGGGUGUGAGACCCGCGCGCGAUGAGUAGGAGCCGGAUCUUUUUGAUAUAGAUAGCCAACACUUUUGAUGGGGGUUGUGCACGUAUGAUGUUGAGGGUCGAGGGUUCUUUUUGAGGUUUUAGGCUGGACGUGGCUGAGUCCUAGCCUUUCCUUUUGUUGUACCGACCCGAAGGGAAUCCCAUCUUGAUAUAUAUAUAUAUAUAUAUAUAUAUAUAUAUAUAUAUAUAUAUAUAUGUAAAUAAAGUGUCGUGGCUUGUUUAUAAAAUGAUGGUGAUUAGUGGUGUGUAUUUGUAUCAUGGUUGGUAGGGGGAGAGACGGUGAUGUUUUAAUUUGCUUCAGCUAAUGAGUCACGUUGGGACCGUUUUGUUUAAAAAAAAAAAAAAUGUGUCUGCGAAUUAGGACACUUCUUCAAAGCAGAAAGGUAAUAAGGUGUAACAUUGGCGCUAGUGAUGACCUGCGAAGGGUUCGGGGUGUCACAAGUAUGGAUUCUCUUUCUGAGUUGUCCAUACUAUAGAGGGUUUUGUUAGGUUGCUUGAGGGUUUCGACCACUUGUAUGGCGCCUUCUUCGGCCGAGAGGAGUGGCCUCUUAAAUGAGGCCCACCUAGGUGCCGUUAGUGUUAAGGGGCUUAGCCCUCCUACUCGUAAUGUUGUAAGCCGACCUAUUGGGAAGCCGGUUCAACCCUCUCAUCCCAUCGUGGGGCCUUCAUCGGUUGGGAAUGGGAUUAAGUUAGGACCGUGGUCUAGGCCUCCCCGCGAAGGACAGUCUAGGGGCUGUAGUCGUGCUCGUGCCCCUUCUAAACGUCUCCAAGCCUCGAGCAAGCUGCCUAGCUCUUCAAGGCCCCCCCAAGCUAGGUCUUGGGCUAAUGUGGCGAGACUUGCAGCAAAGGGAUACGAGCUGACCUAUGUCCCUCCUUCUUUUGUGAAUGAUAGGCUGGUUGUUAACUUAUUCGGCGAAGUGCUGUAGGUUGCGGACCCCAAGUGGAACGAGUACCUAGUUGGUUACUUUGUAGGGAAGAGUCUUCUGUUUCAACUCAUCGAGCAAGCAUUGAAGAAUACUUGGGGCCUAAGCUGGUGGAUGUGCUAGCUGAUGACUAGGGAUUCUUCUUUUUUCAUGUCCCAGAUCCUUUGUUUCGUAGGAAGAUAUUAGAAGAGGGGCUUCUCAUGGGAGCAAGGGUUCCCCUUAUUUUGCAGUAGUGGAAGCCUUUGUUGGAACUAAAAAAGGAAGGCAAUCUUCUGUCCCAGUAUGGAUUAGGCUCAAGAAUCUUCCUCUUGACCUUUGGUCUGCGCCAACGAUUAGUGCCAUAGCUAGCUCCGUUGGCAAGCCCCUUCAUGUGAAUCAACGCACGAAGGGUAUGAGUAUGAUUUCUUUUGAUAGAGUUUGUGUUGAGAUCCAAGAAAAACAGCCAAGAGUUUCGGCGAUUGAAGUGAAUGUGGAUGGAGUUUCACGUUCAAUUGCCGUUGAAUACAAAUGGAGGCCUGUGGAAUGCCUCAAGUGUGGCGUGUUUGGCCACAAGUGUGAGGUCUCCCCCUCGCCAGUAUAGACUCACACUGCCCCUAUUUCUUCGGAUCCUAUCUAGCCCCCCACCCUUGUUUCGGUAGUCCCUGCAAUACCGGAGCAAGCUUGGAAGCAAGUUAAAGGAAAAAAGAAGAAGCCUCCUCCCCUGGUGGUUGUUAGCCCGACCAUCCAGGUUAGUUCGAGUGAUGAGGGGUGGUCUUUUGAAGCUUAAGGCUGCGGUAGUGGAGAGGGGAACACCUUCUACCGCUUCUCGCAAAACUCUUAGAGGUCCCAAAUUUAAUUCGAAGCAGGCUGAAGCUGCCCCUGUCUCUACGAACGAGAUCGCUAGCCCUACGGAGCCAUUCGCUCCUGAGUUGCCUAGCCCGGGAGAGGAGCUAGGGGGCUCAGACAAUCUGGUCUCCUCUUUGGAUGAUGAUCUACUUUCCUUGUGCCCCUCUCCAAAGGCAUUUGCUACUAAUAGGAGGGUUGAGACUAUACAAGACAAGCUGCUCACUCUGGCUCUAGACCCUCCUCCUUUGACGACCCAUGCUGCUUUACCUCCCACUCAGCACAGCUCCUCCAAAAGGAGGUAACCCUCCUUCCUUUCUUGUUUAUUUGUAUAUAUGUACAUAGGAUGCUGGAAUAUCAGGGGCCUUGUUGCCCCUCUCAGACAAGCGGAAGUUUGGAAUCUUGUUUUGACAAAUCAGUUGGUGUUGAUCAAUUUAGUUGAGACGAAAGUCCCCCACAAUCUAUUUAGUGCUAUUUAUGGGAGUUUGAUGACAAAUUGGUGCUGGUUGGCUAACUUUGAACACUCCCAUCGGGGAAGGAUCUGGGUUAGUUAGGAUCCUUCCACUGUUUCCUUUGAACCUUUCUCGUUUUCGGACCAAGUGAUUCAUGGGAAUCAUAGGUGUUUGGAUUCGAGAGUUGUCUGUUGUGUUUCAAUUGUAUAUGCUGAGCACUCCUUCACAUUUCGGAGACCUCUUUGGGAGGACCUUGUGCUUAGGAGUUAUACUUUGUAGAAUAUGCCUUGGCUUGUUAUGGGAGAUUUCAAUGCUAUCAAGGACCCCUCAGACAAGUUAGGGGGUUCGAGUGUGUGGUUGUCGUGCUUUGACGAGUUCAAGUAGUGUCUAGAUCAGCGAAACUAGAGGACCUUAGAUAUGUGGGGUUUCAGUACACGUGGUCUACUUCUUCUAGAUCUUCUCACAAGGCGAGGAAAAUUGAUAGGGGGUGCGUUUGGAUCUGGCAUUUCCAAGCCACUUUAGGCCUCUAAAGCCCUUUGGGCUAAAAAUGAGUGUUUGACAAUUUGUUUUGUAAACAUCCUUGGCUGAAAGUUAGCCUUUUGAAGGCUGAAAGCACAAGGCAGGGCCCCCUGCCUUAGGCAUUUCAGCAUUCUCAGUAAGCUGGCUAUCCCCCUUUAAUGAAUUUUGUUCGAUUGCCAUUGUUUCCCUUAUAAGUUAAUAAAAUUCCAAGUUUAACCUUUUAGAAACCCUAGAUCUGUACACACUUUCCUCUUCCCUUCCUGACCCACCUGCAAGUUCUCAUCUUCUUAUUCUUCUCUCUCAAAUCCACGAGCACACACCAAGAAUCUUCAUCAAACCGAGCUCCCCUAUACAACCCAAAAGCCAUCUUCUUGAUACGCUCCUGUGGAAUACGCCUCUAGUUUCACUACUCUAUGGAAUACGCCUUUGAUUUCUCUGUGCUGCGUCGUGCCUUUGGUGUCGUUGCUUUGUGGAAUAGGCCUCUGGUUUCCCUACGCCUUUGGUGUCGCUACUCUGUGGAAUACACCUCUGAUUUCGCUGCGCCACGCCGUGCCUUUGGUGUCACUACUCUAUGGAAUAUACCUCUAGUUUCGUUGCACCUUUGGUGUCACUACUUUGUGGAAUACGCCUCUGGUUUCGUUGCGCCUUUGGUGUCGUUGCUCUUUAUUGCUCAGCUAUUUAGUCACCGCUUGGUCAUCUUCUGUCUUCGCUCAUCAUUCCCAGUGCUCGCCUCUCUCUUGGUGUCUACUUUCUUCGUUGAAUCAAGUCGCUCGACUCUCUUGUGUUUGCCUCCCUCUUCACUGAGAAUGUACUUGCUCAUGUCGCCCUAAAUCCAGGUUCUUUUGAUUCGAUUCCUUCUUAUUAUGCUUUUUCUAGUUGUGAUUGUUAAGUGUGUGAUUGCAUUUCUUGAUGCGUUUGUUAUCCUAGACGAUGUUCGUUAAAUUAGUGAAACCAGAAAGUCAUUUAACGCACUUAGGACACGAUACUCUCUCAAUACAGUGACUUUAAAUCAACUUUGUUGUGAGUAGCUAUUAUGAGUAGUUGUUUGUUGUUUGUUGUGAGUAGCUGUUAUGCACAAGUUUAUCUCAAAAUCAAAUUUAGUAAUAUAGUUAUUUUAAAUCUCAUGAUCGUUUAUCUUGCGAAUUAUUAAAUCGCAAUUUUAGUAAUGAAGUACUAGGUAAAAUUAGAAUUAGAAUUAGACCUAAAGUUGAGUAUUUUUUUUUUUUUUAAGGAAUUAGAUCUCUCUUUAUAAUUAGAACCCAUGCUUCGUAGCAGGUGCAAACAAAAAGAAAACCAAAAGAAAAAAUAAGAACUUAUAACACAAGAAAAUAACCCCAGCCCACUUUUUGGAUGAUCCUAAAAAAGAAAAAUACACGAAAUUGGUUAUCAGCAUUAUAAAAAUAAUCUCCAUUUCAAACUACCCCAAAACAUGUGUAUACCAUAGAUAUCAUGUGUAUGUGAUAGAUACAUCAACUCAACUAAAAUAACAACGUUUUGCUUCAAUUAUAAUGGAUGUUUUGCUCCAGUUCCUUCCAAAAUCCAUGAUUUGAAAUUAUAACAGACAAACUUGAAACAUUAGUAGUAAGAAUUUGAUCUUUGGACCAAAAAUAAGUGAUUCAAUUUGCUUCCGAGUUGUGCCAAGUUUAGUUCUGGCCAUGGCUCAAAAGAAGCACUUGCACAAUGCUCAAGUCAAGGCUUCAUCCUAAUAUCAAAUAUGGGGUUGACUGCAGAGGGAGAGAGAGAGAGAGAUCCCAUAGACAUGGAAACAGAGCACAUGAAGUAAAUAUCCCCUUUUAAGCUUUUCGCUCUCAACCCUUUUCACCAUCCAGUGAAAAAUCCCCCAAAAGCAUAAAGAAAAAGAAACAAGAAAUAGAAAGAUCAGCUCAUAUUUUCUUCUAUGUUCUCAGUUCUCACUCUCUCUGCCACUACCUCUCUCUAUCUCCUCGGCUUCUUGUGCUAGGGUGUUUGAAGGAGAAACACACACACACACACAUCAAAGGCGUUGUCCCCCAAGCUUAUGCAAGGACCAAUCUCGAAAUGGUCUAGCUUGUGCCAUUAAUAGUUCUCUCACUAUCACAACAGCAUUUUGCAAGUUGAACAAUCGUAUGCAAUCUUCUUUAGUUUUCACACAAUUUAACAAAAAAGACAGCCAGUUUCUUCAAGUUACUUGAUCAUUCAUUUUUAACAGAAAUAUUCAUGUGUCUCAGUGUCUGGUUUUGUUUUGCUAUAUCACCACUUUGACUGGAAUAUAAAGCCCAAACAAUGGAUGGUAAUAGAUAUCUUUAUGUGAUACUCUCUUUUUCUUUGAUAAAUAAGACAGCAGUCUUUGGCAUUUUAAAUCUACUCACCUUUUAAUGUGUUACUCCAGCAAUCAUUUUCUUCAAAUUCAUUUAGCAAACUGAAUAACCAUUACACUAGCAAUAGAUUUACCUUCUCUUCCCUCUCUUUUUCCUUUAAGGUGCAUUUUCUAUGGCUAUAUCGUUCAUUGAUUACAUCAAAUACAAGCCAUAAAAUCAUUAUUUGCAAAGAAAACAUAAAGGACGAUGCCAAUUGAACUAAAAGAAGAGAUCUGUUGACCAAGCACCUCAGAAAUAUAGUGUAAACUUGAAGAGCUGCCUGUUUAGAAUGUACUUUAAGCACAAAUAUAGAUUAAAUAUCUAGGCUUAUGCUGAGAGACACAACAAACAUCAUGGCCAAAUCCUAUAUAUAUAUCCAACAAAUGGCAGGAAUAAUAUAAAUUUACCAGAUCAACCUGAAGCAGAAGAUUGAAUUGCUGAACUCAAUGAAGUCACUUUUGGCGUCUAAAGAUUGUAUAUAGAUGGCUUCUCUGGGCUCCUCACAGUAUGGAUGUAAAAUCUUAGACCGUCUAGCAAAUAUUUUUUAGUGCUAUGCAUAAUUCUAUCUAUAUGCAUAUGUGUUCAUUCAUCUAUAGGGAAUUGGGUCGUAGUUAAUCUCAUUUCUUUUCAUUUUUCAAAUGUGUUCGAGUUUAUUUUAUUGGAAGAUGGCAAGUUCAUCAAAAGAAAAGGCAUAUUGGAGCCAAGAAGAUGUAGAAACAUUUUGUCGAUUGUGCAUUGAACAAAUUAAAAAAUGCAAUUGUCCUGAGAGCAACAAAAGAGACGGAUGGACAGCUAUAAUUACCAAGUUUGAGGAGCUAAGGGGCAAAAAAUAUGAUAAAAAUCAAAUGAAGAGUAAGUGGGAUAAUCUAAAGGAAGAAUGGAAAAGAUGGAAGCAAUUGGUUCAAAAGGAAACAAGACUAGGAUGGGAUCCAAGGAAGAAAACCAUUGAUGCGAGUGAUGGAUGGUGGGAGAGAAAGAUUCAAGUGUUUAUCUUUUCUGCCACAUUUUUUUUAUAAGUUCAUCUUUUGUGAUAUAACUCAUGAAAAUAUCUUAUUAUAAUAGGCCAAUCCUAAGCUUAAAGUCUUUCGAACGAAAGGCAAACAUUCGGAUAUGGAAGUUUUGUUGGAUAGAAUGUUCCAAGGUACGGUUGCCACUAAAAGUGUUAUCCGGAAUCCUGCACAAGGUUUAGGCAAUACUGAAAAUCUUGAGACCACACAAGCUAAUAUUGGUAAUUGUGUAGGAUCUACUAAUGAUACUUUAGAGUGUGAUGUAGGUGAAACGAAUGUCCAACUAAGUCAAAGUAAGAGCCAUAAAAGAACGGUGCAAAGUUCCACGAAGGAAGGUCGAGGAAAGAGAGAGAAAAAAUUGAUCGGACCUGCUAAGUUAGCAUCGCAAAUUGACAGACUUUGUUCAACAGUUGAAAGUAUGAGCAAUGCAACAUCGGUUGCAAGGGAAUUUGACUCUUAUAAAGAAAUUAUGCAAACAUUGAAAGCCAUUCCUGAGAUUAAGGAAGACAGAAAGUUGUCUUCUUUACACUCUCUCAUCUUUCUGAAAAGAAAGAAAAUAGGCAAAUUUUUAUGAAUUUGGAUGGAGAUGAAGAGAAAGUGAAACUUAUUUUGGAUUGGUGAUUUGCACUACUUGUGAACUCUUCUUUUAAUUAUGUUUUUGAGAUUUGCGUUUUUAUUUUGUGUUCUUUUGAUCCUAUGGAGUUUGCAUAUACAUUAUGGAUGAUAACUAUUUCAUUGAUGGAUGAUUACCCAUCACUUUUCUUAUUAUUUUGUUACUUUGAACAGAUAUCGACGACUCUCCUGAAAGAGAAAUUCAUGAAAAAGAGGACGGGGAAUAUUGGCAAAUUGUGGAAAUUACUCUAGCCCCAAUCUCUUAUCAAGCAAUACAUAAUGACCAAAAACCCCGAACGACAUUAUCAUAUAUCGGAAAUGCAGGGUAGGAGAGUUGAUGGAUGAAGAUACAAAUCCCAUGAAGUGUUAUAAUAUGUUUAAAUGGAUAACAUUGUAUUUAAUAAUUUAAUGCAUGAUUUACUAACACGUUAUAGUCUUGAAGGAACUAAAAAUAUUGAUGUUACAGAGUUGUGUGGAAUAUUUCUUCAUAUUUUAGGACAUGAUAUAUGUAAUAGGUUGAUACAUGAGCGCUACUCGUCCUUCUGGGGAAACCGUACGCAGGUACUUUAGCCUACUAAUAAAUAAAGUAUGUGAAAUGAGANNNNNNNNNNNNNNNNNNNNNNNNNNNNNNNNNNNNNNNNNNNNNNNNNNNNNNNNNNNNNNNNNNNNNNNNNNNNNNNNNNNNNNNNNNNNNNNNNNNNGGUAUGUUUUGAUUAUACAAUAGGAAGAAGGAAUUAAAAGCAAAUUUUGAUUAUACAAUAAUAUUUGUAUUUUUUUUAGGAUUGUAUUGGAGCUAUUGAUGUCACUCAUAUCCCAACGGUUAUACCUAUAAAAGAUCAUAUUCAUUUUAUUGGUCAAAAAUGUACACCAACUCAAAAUAUCUUAGCGGUGUGUAAUUUUAAUAUGGAAUUCAAUUAUGUUUGGGCUAGUUGGGAGGGCCAAGCCUAUGAUACUCGUAUUUUCUAUGAAGCUUUAGGGAGACGUGAUGUGCAAUUUCCUCAUCCUCCUCCAGAUUUGUUAAUUAUGGUUUUUGUACAUUAAUAUGUAUUAAUGUGGUCUAUGUUGAUUAUAUUUAUAUUAUAUUGUGCAGGUAAAUAUUAUUUAGUAGCUGCUAGAUAUCCAAAUCCGACGAGUUAUUUGGAACUGUACAAAGAAGUUAGAUAUCAUUUGUCAAAAUUUCAACAAGGUCCUGCCCCUACAGGCUAUCGAGAGGUAUUCAAUCAUGCUCAUUCCUCGCUGCGAUCGGAAAUUGAGCAAGCUUUUGGUGUCUUGAAGAAAAAGUGAAAGAUUCCAAAGCAUAUGCCAAGUUUUCCAUUUGAAAAGCAAGUAAAAAUUGUUAUAGCAGCAAUGACUUUGCAUAAUUAAGGAUGUUUGUAAUUUUCGAUAAAAACCUAUUUCUUUCUUUGAUGCAUAUGUAAUCAUGUUUAUUGUAAUGAAAUUACUCUUUCUUUUUAAUUGAGAAAAAGUCCACUAUGAUGUAUUUUUUAACUUAUGAAUUUGUUAAUAUAUAUCUUUUAUAUAUACAUCUCAGUGCAAAAUUAUUUAUAAAAAAAUCAUUGAAUUCAUUAAUAUAUCUCUUUUAUAUACACAUCUUAGCGCAAAUAUAAAAAAAAAUUCAUUGAAUUUGUUAAUAUAUCUCUUUUAUAUAUAAAUCUCAGUCCAAAUAUAUAUAAAGUCAUUAUUUUUGUUUUCAAUUUAAAAAAAUAAAAAUUAAAAACUUAAAUUGGUUGCGCUAAAGGACUUCCCAAAUAUGUGUUUACCAAACAACAUUUCCCCAAAGUUGCUUCUCAAGGCUCUUUUUAAUUAUAGUUUACCAAACAGUUAUUGCAUUUCAUCAAAACCCUUUAAACUAAAGGCCUUUCCAUUUCCUUAAAGGUUUUUCCCAAAAGCUUUCCCAAAUGCACCCAGGGUCCUGGUGAACCCUUGAAGAAGCCACGUUUUUUCUUUCUCAGAGGCCUCCUUCCUCGCUCCUGAGAUCUCCGACCACUCACCUAUGGUGGUUAAGGUGGAGAACCCGGUGUUUCGGAGGAGGCCGUUCAAGUUUUUUGAUUUCUGGAUGAAGCACCUGGACUUUGAGACAAUUGUGAAGCAAGUUUGGAGGCGCCAGGAGAAGGGAUUUCUAUGUUUAAGCUUGUUUGCAAGCUAAAGGCCCUAAAAAGUUAGCUCAAACAGUUAAGUAGAGAUUCUUUUGCCAAUAUCUACAUAAGGACUUCAAAAGCAAGGGAGGCUUUAAAUCAGACUCAGGUUGGCCUCCUUCAAGAUCCUACCAGUAUUGCGCUUGCGGAUCUGGAGAAGGUUCAACACCACGCCUUCUUGGAGCUUCACUCUUAGGAGGAGUCAUUCUUUAGAUAGAAAGCUAGAAUCAUAUGGCUUAAGGUGGGAGACCAGAAUAUGAAGUUCUUCCGCCACUAUAUCAGCAAAAGACAGAUGAGAAACAUAAUUCUUUCUGCGGAGGAUACCCUAGGUAACCAAAUCAUUGAUCUGCAGCUAGUCCAGCAGCCUUUUGUGGAGUACUUCCAGGACCUCCUCAAGCCUCAGAUGGAGCAGGAUACACCUCUAGUUCCAGAGAUUUGUGAGGUCAUCCGCUCUUAGCUUAAUGAUGACUAGAUCACCUCUCUUGCUCGGCCUGUCUCUGACCUAGAGAUUCGGGACACUCUUUUUUCUCUAGCUCGGGGCAAGGCCCUAGGUCCAAAUGGUUUCAUGGUUGAGUUCUUCAAGGAGAACCGGGGGACGGUUGGUCAGUUGGUCACAACAGCCGUUAAGGAUUUCUUCACCUUAGGGAGACUCCUUAAGGAAAUCAACAACGCCAUUUUGGUUUUGGUGCCGAAGGUUCCUAAUGUGACUACCAUCGAUGACUAUAGGCCUAUUGCAUGCCGCAAUACUAUCUACAAGAUAAUACUAAAGUGUUGGCGAAUAGGGUUGCUACAGUGCUGAGGGAUCUUGUGAGCCCGUCUCAAAAUGCUUUUGUUAACGGACGGUGAAUUAGGGAUAAUAUCCUCUUGACUCAGAAACUCUUUUCUAGUUUCCAUUUGAAGCCUUAUACACCUAAGUGUGCUGUUAAAGUGGACUUCAGAAAAGGUCUAUGAUACCAUGGAUUGGUGGUUCCUUGGGAGUGUUCUCCUUACUUUUCGUUUCCCUGAUCGAUUGGUACACCUCAUCAUGACCUGUGUGCAGACACCUCGGUUUUCUAUUGCUGUGAAUGGGGAGCUUCAUGGUUUCUUUCUUAGUGGGCAAGGCCUGCGCUAGGGUGAUCCCAUAUCUCCCUAUUUAUUUACUUUGAUUAUAGAGGUGCUCUCAAGGUUACUCGGGAGGUGCUCGCUACACCCGGAUUUUAGAUUCUUUUGGAGAUGCAAGUCUACUACCUCUCCCAUUUGUUAUUUGUAGAUGACGUAUUCCUCUUUUGUGAAGGCCAUUUUCCAUCUAUGACGCUCCUCAAGGAAGGACUCCAAACUUUCUCUUCUUGGAGUGGCUUGAUUCCGAAUCCGAGGAAAAGUGAGGUGUUCCUAUCAAGAGGCUCGUCGUCAUUAAGGAAUCAAAUCCUGUUGUAUCUUGGUUUCCUUGAAGGGAACUUACCAGUCCACUACUUGGGAGUUCCAAUUAUUACAUCAAGGCUAGGGAAGGUAGAUUGUGCUGCUCUUGUUAGACGCAUCACAUCGAGGGUGCAAUCCUAGACUCAUCGGUUUCUUUUCUUUGUCGGCCUUCUUCAACUGAUCAGGUCAGUUCUUCAUGCCAUUCAGGCCUAUUAGGUGAGUGUCUUUAUUCUUCCUGCGGUAGUGUUAGACCAGAUUGAGCACAUUCUCAUACAAUUCCUUUGGAGAGGCCCGGAGUUGGGCAAAGGGGGUGCCAAGGUCUCCUGGGAUGAUGUGUGCCUCCUCAAAGCUGAGGGAGGUCAUGGUAUCCGGAGACUACGCGAGUGCAAUAAGGCAGCCAUGCUCAAACAUAUCUGGAAUUUGUUUUCAAAUAAGGAGUUCUUAUGGUGCAAAUGGGUCCACUCAACCUUCUUAAAGAAGAGGAAUUUUUGGGUCGUAAAGAAGCCGACUUAUUAUUCUUGAGCUUGGAAGAAGAUUCUACAACUCAGGAUGGAAAUCUGGCUUAGCUUCUUUUGGAGGAUAGGGGAUGGCCUAUCAAUGUCACUCUUGUUUGACAAUUGGUACCCUAGGGGUCCUUUGAACUUAUAUUUCUCAAAUUUGCUCAUCUACAACUCUAGUCUCUCUAGGUAGGCUUCGGUGUCUGACCUCUUUUAUGAUGAUGGCCAAGCUAUCAGGUCGAUAAUUGAGUCUUGGGGUUCACCAUUUCCCUCGUUGUCUAGGAGCCAGGAUUGUUUUUGUUGGAGGGAGGACUCAUCGGGCGUGUUCUCGAUCGGCUCGGCUUGGGAGGCCAUAAGGCGGAAGAAGGCCCGAGUCAAUUAGCAUCCUUUUAUCCGGAACAAUGCCAUCCUACCUUGAUACCAACUUAACAUUUGGCUUAUAACCAAGCGUAGGCUUCCUACCCAAUCUCUCCUUAUGUCUUAUGGUAGGAAUGAUGAUGCUUCCUGACCCUUUUGCAAUGAGGUGCUUGACUCUAUAGAUCAUCUCUUUUUUGGGUGUCGCAUUACAUCCGGUAUUGCUUUCUUUUGGGCAGCCAGAUGUAAUCUUCCCUAACGGAACUGGUCUUAGGGGAAGAAUCUCCGUUGGGCCAUUACCUUGCUUUUGGGCAAUGUGUUUUAUAAAUGUGUUGCCCACUUUUCUUUUGGUACGCUUUGCCAUAUCAUUUGGAAGAACAUGAACAAUAUUCUCUUCAGGGGGGAGCCACUUUCUGUUUCGGCCAUAAAGAAGCAUCUUCUCAAAGUCGUCAAAGACAAGGCGGUCACCUUCAGAAAUGUUGAGGACUCCAUCAGAAAUAGAAGGCUACAACAUUCUUGGGAUGUUGACCCCAUUAUCUUCUCUUCUAGAGAUCUCCAACCGUCUGUCUAAGCUACUGAUCGUUGUUGGUUGCUUCUGACUGACGGUUGUUCUUGCCAUCUGGUGCUCUCUUCUUUUUUGUGUUCUUGUUGUAGUCACUUGGCUUUUUCUCUCGACUUCCUUUCACUCAUAAUGAGUCUGUUCAUCUUGAGUGCAAGUUUUUGAAGCCGUUUAUUUGUACAGUUUGGCCUUUCCCCAAUAUUGCUUACUUUUACAAAUAUAUAUAUAUAUAUAUAUAUAUAUAUAUUAUAGAAAAAACAAGAAAAUAAAUUAAACACUAGAUUUACGUGGUUUGAUUGGUGACCUGCAUCCGCAUGGAGAGUAGUAUUGAGUUCCACUAUAGACUAAGCAAUAUAAUAAAUAAUACAACCACACUCGAAUUACUCAAAUACUAUAUGUGUUUUCUAACCGUACUUACAUCUAAUAACUCGCAUAGUGUUUAGCCCCACAAUUUCUUCAAAAAAUGCUCUCAAUCUCACAAAUGUUUACAUAAAUUCCUACGAUGAGAAUUUAAUGAGCUUCAAAACCUAAAUUCUUGAUGUAAUUAAAUGAAGUAACCCCACUGCCAAGUGCCAAGUGCCUGUGGGAUGUUACUCCCAAAUUGAGCACCUAAGGCACUCACAAAGAAAAUAGCCAUAUCCUUGACUUCUUGAGAAAAACAUUCCUUGACUGAUAUUAUAAAUAUAUAUAAUAGUCAAUAAAAGUCCUUUGUCAAAUCUCUAGACUUCUGUUAUUUUCUUUUUGAAUUUUCCUUGACCAUCAAUAUGGGAAACCUCCAACUUGGACCAUACCAUAUAGGAUAUAUAAUUUCCAUGGUACACCACCGUGGGUGUCCACAUAUAUUUCAUUUAUCUUGAGUCGAAUUUUGUUCAUUGGUCCAAACUCGAGACCUAUUUUAUCAUCUAGUUCUUGAAGUGAAUGGCUUUAUUUUGGAUCAAUGAUUUUCUUACAUCAUGCUCUUAAUAGUUUCUUCAUAAAAAGAGAAACCCUAUCGAUGUACAGUUAGGUGCAUUAAAUUGGGCAAUGGCAUAAACUUUGAUUCCCUAUACUACUAACUAUAAAAAAAUUUAAUAUCAAUGCCAUGCGAUUGCAUUUGACUUGUCCCAUCUUGUUAUAUAAUUGAUACCAUCAAAACUAUAAGUAGUAGACCAAUAACUAAAAAUAAACUCAAACCAAUUUAUAUCGUUUGUGAUGAGAACAUGAAAUGUGGAGAUCACACUUGAGAUUGGGGAAAUCAUCCAAUCAAUCUUAAACCAAUUGUAUAGAUGCCGAUCCAGUUCUUAAUUUUUUAAUUUUGCUAAUUUAGACCUAAACCUUUUCGUGAAAUUCUGGUGUAGUUCUUACAACAAUUUUUCAUUGUGGUACACCUUAAUGUCAACGAUUUCACUUGACUAUUGGUCACUAGAUUUGUAUUGCAUAAAAAUGAAUUAAUUUCUAUUAGACCUUUUUUGCCCUAACCCAAAUUCAAUCUGACCCAUCCAUUUAACAGCCCUAUUUGACUUGACGUCCAUAUUGCACCAAAAAAUCUGAGUUGACUUUUCCAAGGCCCAUAACAUAUAUAGUAAGUACCACUACCUCUUUUAAUGAAAAAUAAUAGUGACACAAUGCAUGCAAUGUUGAUUAGUGAGUACUUUAGACUAUGUCAUAUACAUGUUGUGCGUGGUCCAUUUUGUUUCCAAUUACCUUUUUUUUUGGUCGAAUGUGUCCAAUUACUUGACAAAGAGUAUUUUCUCAUACUUAGUUUGAGAUCUAGAUAAAAUGAAGCUUUGAUUUGAGGCCAUACCUUAUCCAAUUCUAAAUGGGAAAAGUUGUAUGAAAAAUCUAAAUUUAUUACACUUUUACCAAUUUAGUCAUAAACUAUUUAAUUGUGACAAUUGAGUCGUAGAUAUUUUUACUUUUCACCACUUGAGUCCACCUAAUCAAUUUUGACUUGCUGACAUGGACGUCGACCAUUCUACAUGGCAUAACCGGCACUAAUAUGAACAAUUUUUAAUAAUAUUUUAAUAUUUUUAAAAUUAUUUGUUUUUUUAUUUUUUCAUCUUUUUCCUUUUUUUCUUCUCUUUUCCUUAUCUCUAUUUUUUCAACUAUGUUUAGCAAGGCUUGCUGAGCCCUUGCUAACGGUCGUGAUGGCCUUGCCCAGAUCUUGGUGAGGUUGCCGGCCUUAGGUGAGAAAAAAGAAGGAAAAAGGAAAAAUAAAUAAAUAAAUAAAUAAAUAAAUAAAUAAACUCGAAAAAAAUUAUGAAAAAUUACCCACUUCAUCACCGAUUGUGCCACAUAGGACAAUUGCUUUCUACUUUAGCGAAUGAUAAUAGAUGAAAAAGUAUUUAAAAUUUGAAAAUUUUAUCUAUCUUAGUAUCAAUCGUGCCAUGUAAGACAAUCGACAUCUAUAUCAGCGUAUUACCAAAAUUGGUUCGAUAGACUACAUUGUCAUAAAUACAAAAGGUUUAGGACUAAAUUGACACCAACAAUAUAUUUAAGACUUUUGUUAUAUUUUUCCCUUUUUUAAAGGGUCUUUGACUACCUAUUAUUAUUCGAUGAGUUUUUUUUUUUGUCCAUCUUACUCUAAUUUUCAACUCACUUUCAAACUUUUGCUAUAUCUCUUUAUAGAGCAUUGAAGUCAAAUCUCACAUUUGAAACUAAAUGUCUUCACCCCCAGCUCCCCUUGAGAAUGUGGGCAAUUGAACUCCUCACUUCCCAUUUUUCAUGUAAGAAGGGUGCCACUAGGACAACCCUUCAGUGGUUUAUUCAAUGAGUUUAUGCAAUAACUUUCUAUAUGUUUUAAUUUAAUAAGUUUUUGCCUACAGCUCAACCAGAAGGACAUGAAUGCUACUAAAUGAGAUGUAAAUCACCGUAGAGUGUCGUUGUUGAUCCAACCACUCGAUGCACCUCUCCAUAUCUCAAUACCAACAUCAUCUCUUUGGUCUUGACCAAGCAACAAUGGAGGAAUCAGUGGACCAAUUGAUCGGAUUAGACAUAGCUCAAACAUGGAGUCUAUAACAUCUCUAUCAUACUCAUAGAAUGAACUUUCCAAUACCCCCUUGAACUUCUUCAUGCUUAGGGCCAAAAAGGACUCAUACAAUACAGCUUUUCAAUGCUAGUAGAAGGGUUGUUUGUAAGCACAAAAGAUGGAAGAUCUUGUGUGCCUAGUGGUGUUUGUUAGGAUUCGCCACACAAUCACAAAGAAAAUAGAGAAUAAAAAUAAGAAAAAGAAUUUGAAACGCAAAAUUUUAUCCCAAUUCACCUUGAAACUAGGGCUACGUCCAAUUGGGGAUUUUACUAUAAUUAGCAUGUCACAUCUCUCUAUGACAUCAUUCAACAACAAGAGAAAGAGAAUAAUAUGUAUGUAUGUAUGUAUGUAUGUAUGUAUGUAUGUAUGUAUGUAUGUACGUAUGUAUGUAUGUAUGUAUAUAUGAUAGUUAAACUUAUAUGUAUAGACUAGUAGGACUAACUGGAUAUGUAUAUAAAGUAUGGUUCGUGGAAAAAAGGCGUUAGUACGUUAGAGGAAAUAACCAUAUGGAAAACAUGAUGUUUUUACUAUCCUUGUAUUGUUGAUUGUUUGGGUGUUAAUUUAAUUCGCUUCCACAUGUGCAUAAAAUGAAUGUGUCGGUGAUGUGUUCUGGGAAUGUCGCAUUUUAAUCGACUACUGAGGGGUGUGCGUGUGCUUGGGGUUUAGGGUUUGAGGUAUGAUAGAAAGGUUAUUUGCAAGCACAAAAGAUGGAAGAUCUUGUGUGCCUAGCAGUGCUUGUUAGGAUUUGCCACACAAUCACAAAGAAAAUAAAGAAUAAAAAUAAGAAAAAGAAUUCGAAACGCAAAAUUUUUAUCCCAAUUCACCUCAAAACUAGGACUACGUCCAAUUGGGGAUUUUACUAUAAUUAGCAUGUCACAUCUCUCUAUGACAUCAUUCAACAACAAGAGAAAGAGAAUAAUAUGUAUGUAUGUAUGUAUGUAUGUAUGUACGUACGCACGUAUGUAUGUAUGCAUGUAUGUAUAUAUGAUAGUUAAACUUAUAUGUAUAGACUAGUAGGACUAACUGGAUAUGUAUAUAAAGUAUGGUUCGUGGAAAAAAGGCGUUAGUACGUUAGAGGAAAUAACCAUAUGGAAAACAUGAUGUUUUUACUAUCCUUGUAUUGUUGAUUGUUUGGGUGUUAAUUUAAUUCGCUUCCACAUGUGCAUAAAAUGAAUGUGUCGGUGAUGUGUUCUGGGAAUGUCGCAUUUUAAUCGACUACUGAGGGGUGUGCGUGUGCUUGGGGUUUAGGGUUUGAGGUAUGAUAGAAAGGUUAUUUGCAAGCACAAAAGAUGGAAGAUCUUGUGUGCCUAGCAGUGCUUGUUAGGAUUUGCCACACAAUCACAAAGAAAAUAAAGAAUAAAAAUAAGAAAAAGAAUUCGAAACGCAAAAUUUUUAUCCCAAUUCACCUCAAAACUAGGACUACGUCCAAUUGGGGAUUUUACUAUAAUUAGCAUGUCACAUCUCUCUAUGACAUUAUUCAACAACAAGAGAAAGAGAAUAAUAUGUAUGUAUGUAUGUACGUAUGUACGUAUGUAUGUAUGUAUGGUAGUUAAACUUAUAUGUAUAGACUAGUAGGACUAACUGGAUAUGUAUAUAAAGUAUGGUUCGUGGAAAAAAUGCGUUAGUACGAUAGAGGAAAUAACCAUGUGAAAAACAUGAUGUUUUUACUAUCCUUGUGUUGUUGAUUGUUUGGGUGUUAAUUUAAUUCGCUUCCGCAUGUGCAUAAAAUGAAUGUGUCGGUGAUGUGUUUUGGGAAUGUCGCAUUUUAAUCGACUACUGAGGGGUGUGCGUGUGCUUGGGGUUUGGGGCAUGAUAGAAAGGUUAUUUGCAAGCACAAAAGAUGGAAGAUCUUAUGUGCCUAGUAGUGUUUGUUAGGAUUUGCCACACAAUCACAAAGAAAAUAGAGAAUAAAAAUAAGAAAAAGAAUUCGAAACGCAAAAUUUUUAUCCCAAUUCACCUCAAAACUAGGACUACGUCCAAUUGUGGAUUUUACUAUAAUUAGCAUGUCACAUCUCUCUAUGACAUCAUUCAACAACAAGAGAAAGAGAAUAAUAAAUAUACAUAUAUACAUACAUACAUACAUACAUACAUACAUACAUACAUACAUACAUACAUACAUACAUAUAUAUAUAUAUAUAUAUAUAGUAGUUAUUCAUGAGCCCAAGCCGAGACUACCAAUAAAAUUUGAGACCCCAUUUUAUCUUGUCGGUAGGAAUUAUGAACCACAUCCAAAUAAUGGCAAGCCUGGUAUUUCCAAGCUCAUUUCAGCGCAAGUCAAGUUUGGAAAGGGUUGAGCUUGUUAUGAAAGCGGUAAUAUAUGGCAUAGAACAUAUAAGGUUUGAUCGAUAGUAAGGCAAAUGAAACUUCAUGCUCCGCCGCCAUGUUGACGAGCCAUUGAACAAAAGGUUUCAUGAUGUUGCACAAAAGGUUGGCGCUUCCAGGUUCUCAUAACAGUCGAGGAGGUUCCAAACUUGGCCAGGGACUCCAUGUAACAGUCGAGGAGGGUCCUUCGGUUGAAGUCAAAGCUAGGUUGUCCAAGUAGUAGAGAAGCUCAAUCCGAGAGGCGGAAUACACAGCGGCCAAGGAGUAUUUUAGCAUGCGGUGGCGCGCUUGACGAUAAUGCCCUUGGACAGUAGCUUCAUCCCCGGCCUGAGCAUGGGGUUCAUGUGUUCUUGAGAUGCGAAUGCAACCAUUAAAACAUGGUGUUGCUUUUUCUGUCUCGUCCAUCAAAGUCAUGAACACAAGCGCGGAAAGACACAAGCGCGGAAAGGACAUAGGUAGACAAAUAAGGGCAGAGAGAGAGAGAGAGAGAGAGAGAGAGAUUGUGUAUAUAUUGAGUGAAACGAGCAUGUGCGUGUAAGGUUAAUAAGCAUCAGCUUAUGUGCGUCCUAUUAUGUGAAGUAAAAUAAUACUAUAACUCAUUACAGCGGUCCCUCACUUAAUUCUUAGAUAUUUUAGUAGUUUGAAAAUAUUUGUUAGAAAUUAUGACUGCUAUAAAAGUUCUCAUUUUUGUUAUGGUUUUACAAUGGCCAUAUAAUGGUUUUGUAACGGCUUUUUAGCGGUUUUAUAACAUUGGAUUUAUUUGAUAAUGCCUAUACAACGAUCGUCUUCUUCAAUAAUUACUAAUUAAUUUAUCACUAUUUCUUAACGGCUCUCUUUUUUUUUUUUUACCUAUAAAUUAUUACUCUAAACACAAUUGGAAAGUCAUAUUGAUAUAUCAGAACAACAAUAUUCUUAUUUCUCUUUGCGUGUCUUUCAUUUUAUUGUUGGGUUUUGAACAUAAUGCUAUUUUUAUUUUCUUCUAAUAUUCAGUGUGGACUAUAAAAAAAAAAGUCUGUUGUAUCUUAGAAUGAUAGCUGCUAGAGCCUUAUGCACUAACUUGCAUACUCCAAUGAGCGGAAUCAUUCUAAAGAACAGUGCUUGUAUGCUUUAAACAAUUCAUUUAUUUUCUAAUCUUUUUCAAUGCAUUUUGAACAAUUUUCCAACAUAAUUUGAGUCCCCUAAAUUAGAAAUCGUAACACAACCACUCGUUCUUGAACCGAAAGAACUAGACCGCCUCUACCAUUGGACCAAUCCCAGGUUGGUAUGAUGUUAAAAGUUAAUCGACAUCAAAUCCUAACUUUAAAAGAUAACCAAGACUGAAACAGGAAAUCAGAGCUCAAUGUAAACUCAAAUGCGCACUGAAUUUAUUCUAACCUCAAGCGGAUGGCAGCAUAUGCAGUAGAGCUCCCAACACGCUAUGAAAAGGUAACAUGAAACAUAGCACGACAAGCAUACGGAACAAGAAUCUUAGUAGAGGACGUAUCAUGAACCUACUUCGAGCAUGCGUAAGACAUGAGAGAAACAAAAAGGUCAAACGCUUGCCAAGAAAUUGUUCAAUUGGUCGAAAUCUCACAAUCAAGUUGGUCAUGAGUUUUGCUAAAGGAAAAAAUAAAAUCUGAACUACUUCAAGUUGGAACCAACUAAAGCUUCUCGAUGAGGUUUGAAUGGUACGUUGAAAAUGAUAUUUAAGCAACUCCUUCUAACGGAAUGUACCAUAUUAGUCCUUUGUGAAUAAUUAAAAAACGAAGAAAACUCGACAGAUAAUUGAGGCAUUUAUGACACCAACAAGUAAGGAUUUUUCUGGUUAUACAUGCCGCUAUUCGAGAUCUUAUAGCUUCAGAAAUUCCAAUAAUUUGUUUGUUCAAUACAUACUAUGACUGGAUCUUUCGAUUCUAGUAAACGAUGACGCCAUGAUUUCGAUCCGAUCAAUUAUUAACAAAUCAGUAUAUGCAAUUUGUGAGGGUCAUUUUAGCUAACGCGAGUCCUUGAUAAAUAAAUAAUCUUUUGAACACCAUAGAUUUGAAUCGCAUGAAACUGAUCCGAAUUGCUUUCCUAAUCAGUCUUGAUUUGUAAGAAUCCCCUUCAUAUCAACCUAAUGAUGAAGAAAACGACGGAACAGCAAUUUUGUGUCGAUUCUCCACCCCUAUUUAAGUGAGGAACUUUGCAUCAGAUGAUCACCAGAACAAAGCUUGCUUCGAAUUAAGCUAAAAAGAUUUGUACUGCAAGAGAUGGACUCUUGGCUUCAAAUCCUAGUUCUCGUUGCGUGCAUCACUCCGGCCGUGGUUGAGGGCAGAGUCCGUAACUACACAUUCAAUGUAAGUAACAACAUUAUGGAAUGAAGUAUUCCUCUGUAAAACUUGCUUGUUUGGACGGUAGCCCGUGCAGCGAUGUGUAUUUAUUCCUCUAAUCGGCAGGUGGUAAUGAAGAAUACCACGAGACUGUGUUCGAGCAAGCCCAUCGUGACCGUGAACGGGAUGUUCCCGGGACCCACUCUCUAUGCUAGGGAAGAUGACACCGUGCUCGUGAGGGUCUCUAACCGUGUCAAAUACAAUGUCACCAUCCAUUGGUGAGCUCAACCGAGCGUUAAAUUAAAUUGUUAUCUUCAAGAGAUUGCAUAUUAAUUUUGGUGUAUAUGCGGUCAGGCAUGGUAUCCGGCAGUUGAGGACGGGGUGGGCCGACGGGCCGGCAUACAUUACCCAAUGCCCGAUCCAGCCGGGCCAAAGCUAUGUGUACAAUUUCACCAUCACGGGCCAACGGGGCACCCUCCUGUGGCAUGCACACAUACUCUGGCUCAGGGCAACCCUGCACGGAGCCAUUGUCAUCUUGCCCAAGCGUGGUGUUCCAUACCCUUUCCCUAAACCCCACAAGGAAGUUGUUGUCGUACUGGGUAUGCUCGAUUUCGCUUCCAAUCUACUUCACUUCCAAAAUGAAAGAUCAAUCAUUGCUUGGUUGACAGCAUAUACUAGUAGAAGCUCUGAACCAUUUUGGGAUUUGUGAAUCAGGCGAAUGGUGGAAAUCUGAUACAGAAGCUGUGAUCAGUCAAGCCAUCAAGUCCGGAUUAGCACCGAAUGUCUCCGAUGCUCACACGAUCAAUGGCCAUCCAGGGCCAAGUUCCAAUUGCCCUUCCCAGGGUAACAAUCCAUCGACAAACAUUGCCAUGAAAACAACAUCUGAAUCUUGAUGAAAAUGUUUCACUGAGUUGAUGUUGACCUUCAUUUUCUCUGAUGUUAGGUGGAUUUACGUUGCCUGUUGAGAGUGGCAAGAAGUACAUGCUGCGAAUCAUCAACGCUGCGCUCAAUGAGGAGCUCUUCUUCAAGAUUGCCGGGCACCAGCUGACCAUCGUGGAGGUCGACGCCACCUACGUCAAGCCUUUCAAGACCGACACGAUCGUGAUUGCACCUGGCCAAACCACCAAUGCCCUCAUCUCCACCGACCAGAGCUCUGGCAAGUACAUGGUCGCCGCCUCCCCUUUUAUGGACUCCCCGAUCGCUGUCGACAACAUGACCGCGACCGCCACAUUACACUACUCUGGCACGCUUGCUGCGACCUCCACGACCCUCACCAAGACUCCCCCACAAAACGCGACCGCUGUGGCCAACAAUUUCGUUAACUCGCUCCGGAGCCUCAACUCGAAGAGGUACCCUGCCAAAAUCCCUCUUACCGUCGAUCACAGCCUCCUUUUCACAGUUGGAC
rnacentral:lncRNA from 1 species